GGAAAGGUGUGGAAUAUCCUAAACUUAAGUGAGUUAGGGGAUAUUCCCAGUUUGCCAGGAGAAUAGAUUUUGUUAAUCGUCCCCCCACUUCCACAACAAAAGGUUCCUUGCAUGAGCUUCCUGCUGCUGGCAGUACUUUGGAUCUAAGUCAUAACCGACUGAAAAAUUGCUAGACGUUUUAUUCUUUUUCUUAAAAAAAAAUUCCACAUUUGACUGCAGCAGGUUGUUUAAUGUGUUUAAACAUUGCAGAAGCAGACAGGGAUGGUUCAAGAUGUUUUGCUGCCUGAGGCGAAAGGCAAGAUGGCAGCCCCAUUCCACAUACAGAAGCCAACAGAAGUGGCAGUUGGCUCUCUUCAACACUGGGGAUUGGCAGCAACCAUCAUCACACCUAAGAAAAGUGGGCUACCUUGGGGGCAUGAGUACACCACAUAGCAUACACAGCCACCACUUUCUGCCUAAUGUAGGGCCAGCCCAAUUUUCCACCUGAGGUGGCCAUCUCUAUCUAAUGGUAGGGCUGGCUCUAGAAGCUGGAGAGGUGUCUGGUUUUUACAACAAAGGGAGUCAUACGGAUUAGGCUUGCCUUCAUGUAUAUAGCCUCUGUUCUCAGCUGAGCUCCAGUGAAAUACUUUUUCUAUUAAAACUGGACCAACUUUAUGUGGUUUUGAUAGAUCCAUGUUUAAACACACAACUGUUGCUGUCACAUCUAGUUUGACCCCAAGCGCUUUAAAUAGCUCUUUCCUCCAUUUUUAAAUUUCAUAUUCAUGUUUGAUUGGACCUGCUGCAGAGAAAGUGAGUUGCUUAUUUAGUUGCACUGAACAGUGUUCUUGUUUUAAUUGCUUAGUUCUGCAACAACGGAAUUGAAGGAAGCUGAAUGAGAACAUUGCCUUUAUUCUUGAAGUUUAUAUUUAACUGGUGAAUCUGUGGGUUGCAUAGAUACAAGCACAGACUAAUUGUUCUGUACACCAGUCUUUUAUCAUCUCUCCCCACCCCCCCACCCCAUGGCAUUUUCAGUACUUAUAUUAUCAUAUCUAAAAUGACAUCUUGGUCCUAUUAGGGUGUGAACAUCCCAAACUGAUUCAUCCCAAAAUUCAGAACUGAUUUAUAUAUAAUUAUUUUCUACCCUUCAUAAAGACUGGGCUUGCGCUCUCUCUCUCUCUCUCUCUCUCUCUCUCUCUGUGUGUGUGUGUGUAUCUGUGUAUGAGAGAGAGAAUAUAUUUUAUGUAAGCUGCUUAUGGAUUUUAGUGUUUAAGCUCCCAGGAAAUUUGGGAACAAAGAACAAAUGAGCAGAAAUAAUACGGAGAAGUCACAAGUGUCCCUGUCCCAGAAUUAAACUGUUGUUCACAGAGGAAUUAAAGGUGAUCUUGAAUGUAUAGAGUGGUAUUCAGUGACGUUUUACUCAGAGUAGACUCGCUGAAAUUAAUGGACAUAGCUGAUCCAUGUUCAUUUAUUUCAAUGGGUCUGCCCUAAGUAAAACUUGGUUGAAUACCACUCAUAGAUAGUGUCACUGAGGAUGAACUACUAAGCAUACGAAUGAGUAGAAUGGAACUUGUUAAACAUUAUCUUUUGAAACAAGACAUUCAUUAGUUCUUUCAGGUGAAGUCAUGAAAACUCAAGGAGAUGGUCAUUGAUUCAAGAGACUAGCAAGUCCCCUUAUCACAGCUACACGAGCAUUUACUUUAGGUACAAAGCAUUCAAACCAUUCUGUUGAAAUCAGUAGUUUCCAAUUUGAGCACAUACUUAAAUUUCUAAAUAAUCACCAUUUGAGUUCAGUUUCACUUCAUUCCUCUGAAGCUGAUGACAGUUUCAUAUGUUUAAACUGGCAAUUAAAGGAUUCAGAAUUAUUAAUGAGAGGCUUAACAGUGGGAUCUACUUUAUAUGUGAUACCAUACAUUGGUCACAUACAAACAAAUUCAAACCCACACAACUGCAUUAUCAGAUUGUUAAAAAGAUUGAUGUGUGUGUAACUGACCCAACUGAAAACCUGACUGAGCCACCUCCUUUUUAUACAUUGCUGGCUAUACUAAUUUCUUUUCCUUAAAUCCUCAAACAGGUUAAGGUUGAUGGGUCCAAAAAAGGAUAUUUAAAUAUAUAGCCAGAUAAUGUUAGAAGUCCCACUGAAAUCAGUGGGUCUUAAAUGCUUAACUUGUGAUUAGGCCCUAUUGAUUUCAAUGAAAACUAAACAUGCUGCUUCGCUUCUACUUUAUGUAUCUGUCAAAAUAAUAAAGCUGGAGUUUGCAUUUUGUAAUCUGGGCUCCAUGACCAACUUUGAAUGCCUAUGAAAUAGUGCAAAUGUUUUCCUCCUAGACAUCACUGAAGACAAAACACUGCACUGUCUGCAAGGAAUAACUCAAGCAGAGAAAACUGACAUCUCUAACUUAGAAAGCACUUUUACAGCAUGCCUUACAAAAGGCCCUUGGGCCCUGGUUAAACAACAGCUGCUCAGACCCUAUAUAUUCAGCUCAGCACAACCACAACCCAUUUCAUUAGCUGACCAUUACUCAACCAUUAAAUCAUAACAUAUAGCUUUCCUCUUAAACUUGAAAUGUUUUGUGUGUGAGGUGGGCAAGAUACUCUCAGGUUAAGAUGUAAAGAUUUAGGAGAGAAAUGAGGUACUGCCUACGCACUCGUGUUCACAAAACACCAUUUCUUUUCAUGGCACCACCUCAUGGCAUACAUGGUCACCGGCAGUCUGGCAAUAGCAGCGGUUCUGUUCCUCCUCCUUGCUCUCACCACAAUCCCAGGGUGAAAAUUGACUCCAAAGGGAGAACAAAAGGAAGAACAGCACCUAGCACUGCUUGGUCUGUCCAUUUGGGUUCAAUUCCCACUAUGAGAAGAAUUUGGACAGACAAGUAUGAAGAGAAAAACACCAGGAGCUCACAUUAGCCAUUGCUACUCCACUGCAUCAGACGCAGAGGAAGAGGGAAGACAGGCCAACACCACCCAUCCCCAAACCAACAGCAGCAAGCCUGAUGUCAGAGGUCAAUGGUGUUUCAGCUGCUGGUGUGUGAACAAUGUCAGAUGCCCAGUGACGCCAACUGCUGAUGUUGUGUUGCCUGAUGUUGUGUUGCUUUGGGUAGCCCAGCGAGUUCAUUGUCAGCUUCCAGCUAUCACUCUCCAUUCAGACAAUACUCAGCUUGGGAAGCAGAAGCAGAAAUCUGUCCUGCCGGGUCAUGUUCCACACAUUGAAAUAGAUCCAUGUGUUAAGAUCUGAAAUGGCACAAAUCUCUUUUCUUCAAACAAAAGUACCUGUUUAUUCAGUGUAGAUGACAUUAGUGUUAUGAAGUCCACAAAACAAACUAAAUACAACAAGCACUCUUAAGAUGGACUUUAUUUUUAUUUUAAAAAAUUAAGCUCAAAUAUACUCAAGAGUGUGUCUUGCUGAAUCUUGGCCCCUUCCCUCUGCUGAAACUGUAGAAACGUACAAAAAAUCCCAAGAUUGGUAUGACCCUUACAGGUCUCUGUUCAGUUACUGAGUAGAAGAAAUGUCAUAACAUUCUCCAGUUCACAAUUAAACAAAUUCCUUUAUUUCUCAUUCCAACACCCCUUGUAUUUUGAAUUUGCCUCUAUGCCUUUGUGGUCCUAAUUCUUCUGCUCAGUGUCUUGGUUUAACCAAAUCUCUGCCAUUCCAAGUCUAUCUCACUUUUCCUUCAACACAUGUGUUUCUAAUUUAACAAUCUUGUUAUAUAUUGUCAUGAAACAACCCAGCUUCCCCCUCCUGGGUGCUUUGUGGGAAUCCUAAGUAGCAGCCGUAGACAGGAACUCUCUUUUCUUUGGGGGGUUUUGUUUUAAAGAACAGUCAAGGCAAACAGAUUUAAGUAAACAAAUAAUCCUAGAGAACCCACAAGAGGUCCCAAGGCCGAGGCUACUGUUUUAUGUCUCUCAAGAGAGUUGGGCCUGUUGCCAGCAUAAAUCUAUUCCAUAUUAAGAAACUUAAACCCCCUCAAAUGUAUUAGGCAUAAUACCAAUAUUCAGCCAUUUGGUACUGGAAUUUAACUUAAUUCUGCUACAGUCGUCCUUAUAUACUUUCCCAAUGAGGAAUCAAAAUCAAAACCAGAGACUUUUGCUUGACAAACAGUAAUGGCUGACUGUUGUUUGCCUGACUACAAUAUAGUCCUUAAUUAAGGGUGACAGAAGAGCAACUCAGAGAAUCAUUUGGGGUAUUCACACAUUGCAUUCAGUGAGCGAACAACUUCUGUACUUGUGUACACAAACAGCUGAACUAUAUGCUUGUGCAGUUGCUCGUGUCUGUGUAACUGUAUGCACAAUAGUUGAGUUUCACAAAUCAACAAGUGUAUAAUCAUUCACACAACAGCUUGUUCAUGGGUAGAAACAGCUUGUACCUAUGUUCAGUGAAACUUGUGAAUAAGCCUAUAGUGACUUUAAUUCAGACACAGUCAAAGUAGUGAGUGGGAGCCAGAUACUUUUCUGCUACCUGUGAUAGUGAAAACGUGGGACAGGGGGCCCUUUUCUUUUCCAGCACAUGUGAAACUUGAGAUUUUAAGUCACUUCGGAAAGGCAUCCUGGAGACAGAGGCAAAUUUUAGUGACUUCAACUGAUUCAGUCUCUCAAGGCAAAUCUAAAAAAAUGUAGUAUAAAUGCCGACAACUGGGAAACACUGGCCUGCGAGCGCUCCAAUUGGAAAAUAGCCUUUACCAAAGGUGUCAUGGGCUUUGAAGACGCUCAAACUCAGGACGAAAGGGAGAAACAUGCUAAGAAGAAGGCAUGCUUGGCAAAACCUCACCGUUAUCUAUCAACUCCCACCUGGAAACCUAUGUCCCCACUGUGAAAGGACAUGUGGAUUCAGAAUUGGCCUCUACAGUCACUUAGAGACUCACUGUUAAAACCAUGUGUAUGGAAGACAAUGUUACGAGUGAUCACCAAAGAAGAAGACUAGGCAUGUAGCCUUGGGUGUGCCAUAGGGGGCGCUGCAACAAUGGUGCAGGUGAGAAUUUUGGCAUCAUGCAGGGUGCAAUGGAAAUUUAAGACCCCAAGUUCCACCACUGCUGGAGAUAUGGAAUACCACUAAACAACCAGGGAUUCAGCUGAGUUGAUAAACAUCACAUUUUCCUCCUCACUUCCUCCACCCAAACCACUACUUUAAAAUAAGCUAAAUAUUGUUUAAUUCCCUAAAAGUUCAAGUAAAUGCAAAGACAAAGACAAAGAAGACAUUUGAGAGAGUAGGUAAGACAGAAGAAGUAGAGACAAGGAUUCUAAAGGAUUACAUUACUGUAAUCUGUCUUUCUAUGGUACAAUGUAUAUCUCUUAGAAUUACUGGGAAAUAUUCUUGGAGGGACGCUGGUGGCGCUGUGGGUUAAACCACAGAGCCUAGGACUUGCUGAUCAGAAGGUCGGCAGUUCAAAUCCCCGUGACGGGGUGAGCUCCCGUUGGUCGGUCCCAGCUCCUGCCCACCUAGCAGUUCGAAAGCAUGUCAAAGUGCAAGUAGAUAAAUAGGUACCACUCCGGCGGGAAGGUAAACGGCGUUUCCAUGCACAGCUCUGGUUCACCAGAAGUGGCUUAGUCAUGCUGGCCACAUGACCCGGAAGCUUUACGCCGGCUCCCUCGGCCAAUAAAGCAAGAUGAGCGCCGCAACCCCAGAGUCAGUCACGACUGGACCUAAUGGUCAGGGGUCCCUUUACCUUUUAUUCUUGGAGUAGGAAUAUUCGAGGGCUCAGUUCUGAAAAACACUGAAGAAAACAAUAGCCUGUUAUGUUGUCAAUGCUUUUCAAGAAUUUUCAGAAAAUUCUCCUUAUAAUUGCUAAGAAACUGGAUAACCUCUCCACAGUCUUUAUAUGCGUGAGAGUACUGUUGUUUUAAGCAAAUCCAUCUUCAAAGUUGUAUAAACCUUUUGGAAUCAAAAGCUGCAAUGUUUUUUGGAACAUUGGAACAUAAAAGCUGUAAUGUCAAGCUGCAAUGAAAUUUGCAUAAAGCAUAUCUAGAAGUCUAAAAUAUAUUCAGCCAAGGGUCAGAUAUUUCCCAAAACACUUGGAGGUCAUUUACAACCAUAGUAAUAGAAGUUCAGGUAAAAUGUAUGCAACAGAUCAGGGAAGGUACCAACAAGUCCAACAGAUUCUGGUAUGGUUAAUUAGCACAAUCCAAGACCAGAACCUUUCAUUUUUUAAAAAGUAAGUUCUGCAGAAAUGGAGAACAAAAUGGAGCACAAAACCAGAUCAAAACAAAUAUAAGUUGACAUGCAAAAACAUAAUUUUAGGAACACAUUUCUAAAAACAGUAAGGUUAAUAGCAAGGCUUGUGUAAAUACAUUAGAAGCAAGAAACCACCAAGGGGGAGAUUGGGCCAUCGGACGACAUAGUGAAAAACAUGCUAAAGGAAGACAGGGAGAUUGGCAGAAGCUAUGAAUAUGAUUUCUGCUCAUCUUUGCUCUCUCGUUCUAAUGCAACAUUGUGCAGAUCUAUCCAGAUAUAUUUAAAGAACACAGAACAAAGGAGGUAAACAUCAGCACAGAUAUCUUCCCUGCAGCAAAGCUCUGCAAUCUGUUGUGUGCAGAUGGAUUUUUCACUAUUGCCACUGAUGAGUGACUUGUGGAGAUUUCAGAGUAGCAUGGAAAAAAACUAGAAUAUGUUUGGGGCGAGCUGUGGUGCAGAAAUGUCCAAUAUAUUAGAUGUGAUAAUAUAUUAUUAUUAUUAUUAUUAUUAUUAUUAUUAUUAUUAUUAAUUACUACUACAAUUACCACCUAAUAAUUUGGCUCCUAAGCACCUUGAUUCACUUAUAUAUAUUUAAAUAUAUUGCUCUCUUUAUUCCAUUAAUUAGUAGCUCUCUUGGCAAUUUAAUAUGGUAGCAUUGCUGUUGCCAUUUCAGUACACACAGAAAUGGAAUUACUCUUCUGCUAAUGCUAAGCUCAUAUGUAAUAUCUUCACUGGGUCAAAAUCAUGUGUUUAGCACCUUGUCAUUUCAAACCCUUAAUAUGCGUCAUUAUAGGCAACUGCCAGUCAUUUCACCUGCUAAUGGUCUGAUAUAAAAGUAGAGAUCAAAAUUAAUGACAGCAUAAGAAAGCUCUAGGUUAAUUUCUCUGAGCGACAAUACUUGAUAUUUCCUCACAUUCAGUAUGCUAUUAAAAGUUUAUUUUUUUUAUAGAAAUCAAUUCAAUAUAAAUGAGAGAAAAGGACAUUCAGGUCAAUAUUAUUUAAGAAUUCAUUGGUAUGCAUUGAUUUUUAUGACUGCGACUGCUAAUUGAACAGAAAACGCUGAACAAAAAACAUAUUUUGAAGCCCAUAAGGUGUUUGCAUGAAAUAUGUCAUUUCUUGCAAUGUCUGAAAGUUUCUUCCAGGCAGAAACUAUGGAAGCUCCAGUAUAGCUGAACAUCUGUCUUGUCAUGUAGGCAGAUAUUAAGAUUAAAUUAACUAGAAAUGAAUAGAAUGAUACAUGACAGGGUGCAGAUGUCCCAGCCACAGUGUGAUAAUUUCAUUGCAAAACUAUGUAAUGAAUUCCAUACAUUACAGAAAUACAAAUGUACCACUUUAGGUAAUUGUGAUGAAAAGGUAUAAUAUGCAGUGCAUAAACAGACUGCAGACCCAAGGGCGUUUCUCCCCCCUGUACACUAUUUCUCUUCAGUCAUUUCAAAAUGAUUUUAUUUAGUUUAAUGUAAGCCUAUUAUUGAAUCCUUUCUGGGUAUUUUCUCCCCUUCUUUCAACAUUUCAGAAUCUGGAUUUCAUAGUGGCAUUAGAAAACUUCUUGCGUGCCUGCUUUUUCCAAUAGAUUGGUUUGCUCCCUUUUCCCUCUGUCUAUAUUGUACCUUAAUGUGGCACAUUGAAAUUCACCAGGACUGGAAAUACUUUAAAAGCUUUUGGGCUUUGGGUAGUUUACAAAUUGGUGUCUGUUGCCUAUGCGCAACUUAGAUUAGCAGCAAUUGUUCACAUACUGUCGCAGAUUAUUAGCUAAUUUUCCUUUAUUACUUGCAAAUGGACGAUUUGUGGACCGUCUAAGUUUAGGCGUGUAUAGGUUUGGAAGCAUGCAACCGUUUGGUAAUCCAUAGUGGGCCUCGUUGUGCUUUGGCGUGUGAGAGGAAGGGAGCUAACUGGGCUCCAGGGUUGGCACUGCAGGACCUUGGAUUGGUUGCCCCUCACACCAGGGAAAAGGGGUAUUGCCCAGGAGUGGACCAGAAAAACUCCUCUCCUCUGGUCUGUUCAGUGGGUAUAAUAACAGAUGAACACAUCAGGGCUCUCAAAGACUCCCUCCAAUUGGCUGGGAAACCCUCUGCAGUGAGUGUUCCUCGUCAAGUGGUGCUGGGGGAGGUGGCGCUGGCCUGUAAUGCCACUGAACCAUCAAGAGUAAGUGGACAUGGUAGGUAGAUGCCACAGAUGGCAACUAAGCUUGGCUUACAUUCAAAAGGUGCACUGCUGCCCACCACUGCUAAAAUGGCUACCCAGGGCCCUACUAAGGAGGGCAGUCAGUGGCAACUCAGCUAGCUCAUGCUGCUGAGAGGCCCUUUUGCGCCCCUGGGAACCAAACUGCCCAACAGCUGGUGCCAUCCAGUAUUUGACAGGAGAGAAAAACUCCAUGUAGUACACUGAUACUGAACGAGCAAGCACAUCGCAAAGUCUGGGUAGCUCUGCCGCCUCUCGCUUUAUGUUUAAUAAAAUGUUCAUUUCAAAAGUUGCAUGAUUCUGUAAGUCUAAUAAACAAACAAAUCUCACUAUUUUGCUAUUGGGAUCUCAUUCUCUAAAUGCAAUAAUUUUGAAAACUGGGCAUGCAUACUUAUUUUGUGAUUCAUUGGUUCCAAACAACAAGCAGAAGGUGGAAAGCAAACGUCCCAGGCAAUGAGCAAUAGCAAUUUGAGUAUGCAAGGAAUUCAAAGUCACACUCUGUGUGCCCAGCAUUGAAAUCAACAGCACCUUGUUAAAGCAUCGACUCUACUAAGCUAAGCUGAUAGUUGUAGGGCACGGGUGUCAAACACAAGGCCUGCGGGCCGAAUCCGGCCCGCCAGACCUUGCCAUGUGGCCCGUGUAGCCGCCGCCGGCCGCCAGCCUUCAGCUUUUAUUCUCGCUUUUUUUUUUUGACACAAGAAAGCCGCCUCUUCAGCGCAUGCGCGGCAGCCUACAAGCCAGAGAACGUCUGCCCUCUAGCGGCGCCGGCCCUUCUACACAGGAAACCUCCACUUUACAUGCAUUCAGGAAACCUUCACUUGUUUUUAUAUUGAGCGCAUGCUAUCCUGUGAUGUGACAGAUCCAACAGCUGCCUGAACCCUUCUCUCCUGUACUGUAAGUCCUACAGAUACAACCAGCCCUUUGAGGGUGACCAAACAGCUGAUGCGGCCCCCGAUGAAUUUGAGUUAGACACCCCUGUUGUAGGGAGUAAGCAGAGAUAGGUCAUUUGUGAGACUAAUAAUCUGCCCUUAUAGAAAGAAAGAAAGAAAGAAAGAAAGAAAGAAAGAAAGAAAGAAAGAAAGACAUAGUGGCAAUUUCUUCACAUGGUGAUUUUUAUAUGACUUAUUUUUUAAAUGAAUACAAAUUUAAGAUUGUUUCUUAUGCCAGCUACACAAAACUCAGUACGCUAGACACUAACAUUAUUUAUUUUGAUCUGGUGUAUCUUUUCCAAGGUGUGCAAUUAUGUCUUCUGUGUUUUGGGCCAGAGUGGUUUAACAGUCAGUCCCUCUUUCCAUGGAACUCUGGGAAUUGUAGUUCUGUGAGGGGAGUAGGCUUCUCCUAACAAUUAUUAGCACCCAUAACAAACUACAUUUCCCAGGAUUCUUUGGUGGAAGCCAUUACUGUUUAAAGGGGUGUGAUACUACUUUAAAUGUAUCAGACCCCAGUGUUGAUCCAGGACAUUGAUAGGGCCUGGGGUUGGAAAGGUUGAGAGAUGGUGACCAUCACAAAAUGGUGGCUAAUAAUUAAGAAACAAUUGUGAUAUCGUCUUCUUUUUCUAGUGGCUAAGAAAAAGAAAGACUUCAGAAAUUUUCUCAGAAAAAUAUAUCUGCUGGGAAAUGUUGGCUCAUUUAGCACAGUGCUGGGUGCUCAGGGUAUUACAUCUUUUAAGUCAGUUUUUUUAUUGCAUACAAACUUCCCUGUUCAUAGAGAAACACAAACAUGCACUUUAAGUGGCAUAUGUUUUAAAAUGUGGAGAGAGAACAUUUCAUUUCCUCCUGGUGAAAGGAGACUUUGGGUAAUCAGGGUCCCCCCCCCCCAACAGAUGCCCAGUUUAACUCACUUAAAUGAACUUGUUUUCUGACUGGAUCAGUUCUUGGAUAAGUUAAUUGAGCAUGGCUGGAAAGAAAAUGUUAUCUUUAUGAAGAGGUAAGUAGUAUGAAGCUUCUUGGGUUUCAGGGAAGGUGCCUCAUUGUUUACUUCUAUUCUCCUAACAGAAGGGGUGCACAAAUUCAGCCCAGUGGAAAUAAUUCUAGCUAAUCGCACUCCAUUACUUUCAGUGAAAUUGAGUCUGCUCAUUCUACUUAGGUGAGCUGACAUAGCACGGAAACAGAAAAAUAAUCACAGUCAUGCUGUCCAAAAUAAGCAAUUGGCAUCAGGCAGGCUGAAAACUGUACAUUUUUGUUCCAAUUUACACACUGUGCACACCAUUACUUUAUAAACUCUCAGUGGCUAUGCAUCAUCCCAGGGAAUCAAUGCUGUUGGAAACAUUGUUCAUUAGUACCAGGCAAGUGCUCUGCCAUCUUGUGCAUAUCACAGCUGCUUACUGAUGUUCAGCCCUCGGUUUGGGGAUUGUGCUGCUUUAUUUGACUCUUUUCUAUGGAAUUCUUUGGGGGCUUCUGUGUGAAUGUGAGCCAGGUACGAAACAGUGGUUCGGUAGGGCAUACGAUGUACCCUACGAAUGAAGGAAUGGGGCACUUCUAAGAGCUCACUUAGCCCAGGAAUUUGUUUUCCAGACCAGAACUAUGCUUGCUAUCCUUUCAUACAGAACUUUUCCUAGCUCCCUCCCCCAAGUUUCUUUGUUUCAACAAUGUACUGUAAUUUAAAGGAGGGGGAAGUACCCAUUUUGGUGUUGCUGCUGUUAAACAAGUGGAAGUCAGAAUAAGUUACCAGAUUUUUUCCAAUGAAUCUGGGGACACUUUUCAACUUCAAUGGAUUUUGUAUGGGGACUGAUUUGUAAAUCCAGUGACUGUCCCCGGGAAACAGGGAUGUCUGGUAACCUUAAGUCAGAAUCCCUUGACGCGAAGGAUGUGGGAGGAAUUUGAUUUGCUUUGCAUUUAAAGGUGUACCUCCCUAAUUCUUACUUUCUGAAACAAUAUGCAAGCUCAAGCGUACCCCUCCUUUGAAAUUCAUCAUUCCCAGCCAAAUAAUGACUACAAAAAUGCAUAUGCUGGAGCAGAUUGUGGAUAAAAAUGCAUAUAUUAAUGAAAAUAACACACAAAAUGUAUCUAUCAGGCAAAAUUGCAUACAAAUGUGCACAUUCAGAGAAAAGGGGCAGAGUUCAGUUUCAGGGUAUCUGUUUGCAUUCAGAUGGUCCACUAUUCAAUCCCUGGCACCUCCAGGUAGGGCUGGGGGAAGAAGACCCUGGCCUGAAAUGCUGGGGAGCCAACGAAUAUAAUUCUGAGCUAAAUGAACCAAUGGGCUGGCUUGGUAUAAGGCAGCUGUUUCAGGUGGGCAGAGUAUAAAUAAUAAAAUUAUUAUUAUUCAGUUAUUUUCAAGAAAUGGCCCAAAUGACUUGCAUAUUGUCAAUUUCCAAUAUGCUAGGUUGCAUUACCAUGAAAGCAUUUGCUUCUGAAACUGUUUUAUGAUUUAAUAACUUAGGGUACUUGCAUUUUUAAGACUAAAAAUUUUACUGAAAGAGCAUAAGCUUUCAUAGGUGAUUAUGUAAUUCAACAGAUACUGCCCUGGAAGUGAAAGCUGAAUAUUGGGGUGGGGGGGUGGCAGGGGGUGGGGUCCUUUUCAGUUUUUAAAGGGACAGUUACCCAAGCUGCAAAGUCUACUUUGCAAACAUUGAGUUACAAAAUCAGCAGUGCUCCUUCCAGCUAUUAUAAUGCAAGAGGAAACCAUAGUCCCUGGGUUAGGCUUUGAUUGACACAGCCAAUUUUUAAAAUUAAUUCCUAUUCUGCCAUCUCACGCUCCAUAUAUCUACAAGCAUUGAUUUUCCCGUGGAUAGCUACUCUGAGUUUCUGAUGGAGUGUCCAGGGAGGUUAAAAUGUUUAUUCAAAGGAUUCUUUUUUGUCUUUGUGUUUUCGUUUUUUUUAAUGUAGGAUUUGUAUCCAUCCAUUAUUUCUCUCAAACAUAGCCCUGUCUGCACAAUGCAGAUUGCUGAUGGCUAUUCCAAGGCAUGAGUUAAUAUACACAACAUGAGUAGGUUGAAGCUUCACAGAUGUGGUGGGUGGUGUCCCCAUACCCUCUAACUAAGUUGGUAGUGUUAAUUAAUGGACAAACAUGGCCCUUAGGUUGAUCGCACGGUCUUGUGGCACAUAAGAAGAGACCUGGUGGAUUGGGAUCAUCUAGUCCAGCAUCCUGUCCAUACAGUGGCUAACCUGAUGUGUAUAAAAAAAUUCCUUCCAGUAGCACCUUAGAGACCAACCAAGUUAGUUAUUGGUAUGAGCUUUCGUGCGCAUGCACACUUCUUCAGAUGUUUCGACUAUGGCAGACCAACAUGGCUACCUACCUGCAAAUGAUGUGUAUAGGAAGCUUGCAAGCCACAUACUUCCUCCAACACUGAAAGCUGCACGUUCAAUGUGCAGAGUGCUCUGAUGGUGUUUCCUGCUUGGCAGGGGGUUGGACUCGAUGGCCCUUGUGGUCUCUUCCAACUGUAUGAUUCUAUGAUUCUAUGAUUCAGUGUGAUUCUGCUAUGGUGUACUUCUUGUGGAAGUGGUCGCACUGAAAUUUUUCCCUCCUAUAGAAUAUGUACUUUGAUGGAUGUGGGCCAUUUUUUGAAAAUAACUUCUUCUAUUCUAUUCUAUUCUAUUCUAUUCUAUUCUAUUCCAUUCUAUUCUAUUCUAUUCAUUACCCUGCCCAUCUGAAUCAGCUGCCUUAUACCAAGCCAUUGGUUCAUUUAGCUCAGUAUUAUCUUCAGUGCCGGAUUUACGUAUAAGCUAAACAAGCUAUAGCUUAGGGCCCCACUCUCUUGAGGCCCCCAAAAAAUUUAAAGAAAAAAACCCCUGGAUGUACAUUUCCAAAAUAUUGCAUAAAAAACAAAUAAAAUAAAACCUAUAUACAGCAACAGUGUUUUGUGCUGUGUAGGCUCCUGUGAUGUAAGUAAUGGGCCCGGCUUGCUAGCCUGAUCCCUAAAAUAUCACUGGUUUGCUCAUUUCAAUAUAUUCUGCAUGUGCAAGUGGCUUUAGAUACCUAUUAGGUCCAUAAAUUACCAUAUAGCGUAUAUUCAACACAAAAAACAGCAACAAUUUGUUGUUGACAAAGGACAGCUGGACAUCUAAAGAGCCCCAUGACCUUCAGUAGCUUAGGGCCUCAUCAAACCUAAAUCCGGCCCUGAUUAUCUUCAUUGGCUGGCAGUUGCUCCCCAUAAUUUUAGGCCAGGGUGUCCCUGCCCCAGCCCUACCAGGAGGUGCCACAAUCUCAGGCUGCAUCUACGCCCCCACCCUGUUAUACUCGUUUCAUUUCUCUACAUGUUCUAGGAGACCAGGGUGGAGGGGAGCUGGCUGCAGCAAGAGGGGGAGGCUCCCUGGUUUCAGCUUCUGCUUCUGCCUCAGAGUCUGAACUGUGCUCUGCCAUAGCCUCUUCCUGUUCACCAAACCCUGUCACCACUUCUGCUUCUGACACCUCCUCCUCCUCCCGGCCUGCUCCUUCUCCCUGACCAUUCUCCUGGCUCUGAGCCUUCUUCCCCUGGGGGUUCCCCAGCUGGUGCCUCUCACUACUCCUCUGCAUCCAGCCAGUCCAUGACAUCCAUUUUAUGUGCAGACUGUAACUUCCAAAAGACUUUGCUAAUGCUGAAGGUCUGGCAGUUUAGCCCACAGGCAUGUUUUCCACAAAUCAGGUGACUGAGUGUGAUUUCCAGUUUCAAAGAUUAGAUUAAAUAGAUUUUACCUGUGACAGGAUUGAUAACAGGUCAGUUUCAAAACACAUGGCCUAGAGUUGCUCAUGAGCUGCUACAUCGUCAACAUUUGUUAUUCUGUAAAUUGCCCACAUCAAAAGGUUUUUUUUGGGGAGAGAAUUUUAUGCUACGUCACCUAGGUCAGCAGAUGAUGAGUCUUGAUUAAGGGCAGUUGUGCAAUAUUUUGUAUAAUAGUUUACUCUGAAUAUAACUAAUGCUCAAGGAAUGCAAGUCAGGUUUGAGACCAUCUGAGGCACAUUAACAUGGCCAAAUUUCAGAAAUUUAACAAAUUAUAUUGAAAACUGGUCAUUUUUUGGUAAUGCAUGCUCCCUAAUACAAAUAUGCCAAGAAAGAGAAUGAAGCUUUUGGUCCACUAGUCGAGAUAAAGUUAAAAUACCAGACUAAAAAAGAAUGUUUGUAAUUGGAGAGCUAAUACAUUAUUAACAAGAGCUUGAGCUCUCUAGACUUCAAGUAGCUUGCAUCACACAGGAAAGCUGGAGAGGAAUUAAGGAGGCACACACAGACCUCCUAUAUCCUAUAAUAAUGCUUUCACUGGAGGAGAAAGCAGGGCUCUUAUGUGAUCAUUCCAUUUGUGGGUACUGCAACUAUGCUUGGAAUAGAUUGUUCAGUGUUCUUAAUUAAUUUCCACAAUUUGUUAUUGGAUCCAGGUGACUGAUAAUUUCUGCGCCACCAUGUAAAAUUAUGUGGAUGUUCAUUUAUUGUCCCGAUCAAACACUGAGUUUUCAUAAUGUUAUUGUUUCUUCAUCAAGCCUUUAAUAAAGAGGGAUGAGAAACUUUCUUUCUUUUUUAAUGUUGGUAGUAUAGAAAUAUCUGUAAAUAAAUAAAUAGUUUGUAUGACCAUAGUAAUAUGAACACAUAGCUGGUGAACAUAUGCAACAGCAGUUUCUGUAUUUUUGGAUUGCCAAUUUAGAACAAAACUGGGACAAUUCUUUAAAAAUCUUUAAGAUGGCCUAAAAGGACUAAUGAAAACAUAAUUAAUAUUGCACAUUAUUGUACUUCUUAAUUUACUCUUUGAUCCAGAAACAUAGCACACACCUUCACCACUUCCCCCCCAAAGAUAUCUCCAUAUGGGCUAGAAACUUGAUUGAACACUGAUAUUUACAUCUGAUCUCCAUGAAAUUGACUUGAAUGCUGCUUUGGGGCUGUGGACUAAAUGAAAUUUUAUGAAUACGAAGUUUAUGUAUGUGUAGCAAAAAUCAGCUACAUACAUGUUAUCAACUGGAUUGUGUUUUCUAAUUAUCCAUAGUCUGUAGCUCCCAAGUUAAAGUAUGCUAUGUAAUAGAGGUGGGGCGUGAACUAACUUGUAUAUACACCCUGUGCUGUGUGUAAUAGUGUUGACUCUCAUAAUUCAUUCAGUAUGGCAAAUUUUCUUCUCAAUUACUGAAUUAUGUAGCAAAUUUGAAAUUGUGCUAUGCAUCUUCUUUGGCAUAAUGUCAGCUGCUGUGUAUGGGUGUUUAAACUUUACUUUUGCCUCUUUGAUUUAUUUAUGCAAGCAAGAUUUGUCAUGAAUUUUAAUCCAAGCAAAACGCUGUGACACCCACAAUAGCCUGUAAAUCUGCUUUGCUGUAGCAGCAGCAGCCCUAUGAAAAGAAGUAAUGUGGAAUAGUUGUAAGCUCUGCCAAGCCAGUUUCUCAUCUCAGGCAUUGUUGCAUAAAAUGCAUUUUAUGUAUUGGAAGGAAACAUACAUCUGGAGUCUUUAGUUAUUUUUUAAUACAGAACAGUAGGACCUUUGGGAAUAUUGUGAUUUCUAAGUUUUCUGAUAGGCAUGCUCCCACAGCAGAAGUGCUUUCUUCACAGAGAUAUACACUGCUACAAGUCUUUAUUCAUUUAUUUAUCAUGCUGCAAUUCCCUAAAAAGAAAAGACUUAUUCUAUGCAAAAAAAUAAAAAAACAACCCCUCACAUUGCUCCAAUGGAUAAUCACAGAUUCUGUUUAAAUAAUUGAUACAUAAAAUUACUUUUGCCGACUAGCUCAGUUAUAGUCAUGUGACAGGGUAUAUCGUGUUUUAACCAGAGCAAUUAUUAUUCCACAAAAAAAAAAAAAGUACAGAAAGGAGCAGUGAAAGGAGUUGAGUUCAGUGUGUAGGUUUGCGGAAGGAAGCCAACACAUUUGUCAAAGCAGUUACACCAACUGAAAACAGCUAAAACAGAUAGUCACAGGAAUAGGAUGGGCCCUCGGGUGUCAAAGGCCAAGGUAAAGAAAUGUCGCUGCAGCAUCCACCCAAAACAGCAAAACAGUAUAGUGAAGGUGCUACACACACUUCUCUGAGGAAAUGCCACAAUUUAGGCCAGGCUUCCUCAAACUCGGCCCUCCAGAUGUUUUUGGCCUACAACUCCCAUGAUCCCUAGCUAGCAGGACCAGUGGUCAGGGAUGAUGGGAAUUGUAGUCUCAAAAACAUCUGGAGGGCCGAGUUUGAGGAAGCCUGGCCUAAAUUGUGGCAUUUUCUCCUCACAGAAGCAAUGCUGAUUUAGGCAUUGCUAUAGAGUAUGCCCUCUCCCAGGCCACCCCUACCUGAACUUCUGAGGGAGGUGGAACUACCAAGACUGCUCCCUCCAGUACUCAUAACAGCCCGAAGGGUCUGUACAGAGGCCAAUGAUCUCUCAGGAGCAUAAGUUGUAAUAUAAAGGAAAGUAAGGAUUUGUCUAUUUCUAGUCUUUGUCAGUUUAACAUGUGUUCAUGCCCAAGUCCAUCCCAUGCCACUUCGGCAUUAAUCUAUCCAUUUUAAAAAUCUACAUGGAAGUUCAUAUCUAAACAUUUAAAUAUGCAUCCCCCCACAAGACACACUUUUCUAAAUGUAUUUUAUCCUAAAAUGUGCAUUUCCCCCCUGUGUAUAUUUACAGCAGAGAACUGCAUCACAAAAUCUGAAGAAAUGCGAAAUCUGAAGGGUGACUGUGCUCCAAUUGUCACAAGUCCUCCAGGUGGUGCGGAUCAGGUCAGUUCUUGUUGGAAUUUGCAAAGACGGAAUUCCUCAAGCAUGCUGGGUAAUGUAAUUCAGGUUACAAACGGAUGGAUUAGUUCACCUUUUGAUUUCAAAUCGUUAAGAGGUCCCUGUAAAGAAACUAUUAUGGAACUUAAUGGAAGAGGCAUAACGUAGACCUUAGGGGCAUGGGCUUUAAGGUACAUUUUGAUAGGAAAUGAAGUGCAGCAAAUAUAAUCCAUACUGAAUGCCAGAAGAUGUAAAUUUGAUUGUGAAGACUUCUGUAACAGUUUUUAGGACCACAGCUCAAUGUUUCAGGACGUGUAGGCACAUGGUUCAAAGCCCGACCAUUGCCAGAUCUUUGUUUUUGUUUAUAUACAUAAUGGGGUUAUCUAGUUAUCUUCUAAUUGGAAAUGCCUCUGUCUGAGAUCUUUGAGAGCUUCUGCCAGUCAGAGUAGGCAUAACUGACCUGGAUGGAGAAAUAGUCCAAUGUAGUAUAAGGCAACUACCUAUGUCCUUUCAGGUUAAUAGUCCAGUGUUCUGGGAGAUAGGAGCGCCCCCUAGCUUGGGGGCACUAGCUUGGGGAAAGGCUGCCCUAGGCCAUUAUAAUUGUGAGCCCUCUUAGUAAGAAAGCAAUGCCCCCACCCUAUGACUGUAACAGGGUAGAAGAAAGAACAUGGCAACAGAUUAUAUAUAUUUUUAAGGGAGGAGGAGAAAGUGGGCUAUUUUAAUAAUAGAGAACACGAUAUAAUAUAAACUGAUAUUUGAACCUAUUAUUGCACAAGAGAAAGCACCUGCUUAGGUUAUAAGUGCUGCAAUGUGUGCAGCAGCAGCAGCAGCUUUUGGCCUGCACCAUGUCUUCAUCUUCUCCUUUCCCCAGUGAGAGUUAUGCAAAACCAUGUAACUCGCUGGCAUGUAAGUCACAGGCUGCCCUCAGGCUAACUUCUGCACUUCGCUUUUUGUACCAUGUUCAAGUUUCGUUCUGCGGGAUAUGCAUAUCUUGCAAACAAGAUCUCUAAUGGGGGCUGCUAUGCGUUUGGCUGACGGUGCAGUUUUGCUUCUUGAGCAGCAAACACACAUGGUUCUGCUUUUGGAAAGGCAGAGCAGAUGAACUGCUUGGGAGGGAAGUUCCCAAUCAACUUCUUGAUUCACACAACCAUAUGUUUAGUGGUGGGUAUUACCAUGAGAGGACUUCUGUUGUCAUAUAGCCCUUUUGUGGGGGGGGGCACACGUGAGUCUUGUGUAUGCUCAAAUACAUGUCAAGAUCAAAGACCUCAGCUCCUGACUCAACCAUCAUUUUGAAAGUUUUCCCAGACAGUUAUAAAUAACAUGUUUAAAAAUAUCUAAGCUGUGAUUAUAUAUUACUAUAUGAUUGAAUCAUCUGUCCACUACCAUUGUGUUUUUUCUUUGGCAUAGUUCAGAGCUGCAAGGUUUCACAUGUGAAGGUAAUUGUUUUCCUGUCUGCUGUAAUCCUGCAUUGCAGGGGUUUGGACUUGGUGGCCCUUGAGGUCCCUUCUGACUACAGAUCUAUAAUUAUAUGAUACUUUUGUCAAGAGCUGCUGGAAUUUCUGUAUGGCUGGUGGAGAUGAAUCAGCGGACAGUGGGGAGGUUCAAAAAAGUAUCUACAUGGUGCCUAGAGAAUCUUGCAUCUAAAUAUUAGCAAGACAAAGGAAAUGGUGUUGGACUUUCAGAGGAAGAGAGGGGAACUAGCCUCGUUGUAUAUCGGGGGGAGGGUUGUGUGGAGAGAGUAUCUUCCUUUAAAUUCCUGGGAGUUUACCUUAGUGAAGACCUCACUUGGAAAAACAAUAUAACUUAGGUGGUUAGGAAGGCCCAACAGAGACUCCAUUUCCUCAGGGUCUUGCGAAAGAACAAUGUUAAACAACAAUUGAUGACCUCCUUCUACCUCCUUCUCAAUAGAAAGUGUCCUCUCGUAUUGUAUCACAGUGUGGUAGGUUGGCUUGACAGCCACAGACAGAAAGUCUUUACAGAGGGUAGUGAACACAGCACAUGAUAUCAUGGGCUGUCCCCUGAGCCCGCUAGAUGACAUCGCAAGGGAUCCUUGCCUUAGGAGAGCGAGAAAAAUUCUCAGGGACGAUUCACACCCUAGCCAGCACCUCUUUAAUCUUCUACCCUCGGGUAGGAGAUAUAGAAGUAUAAUCAGCCCUACCAACAGGCUAAAAAACAGUUUCUAUCCGUGGGCUGUUCGGCUGCUAAAUGGAAAAUAAUAUAGUGCAACUGACUUUUGGGGUUGGUGUGUUGUGCGACAAGCACACAGAGUGCAAUGAGACUAAGUGUUUGUGGGUGGGGGAGGGAGGCUCAGUUAAUUUCAUUAUACACAGGUUGUACAUUGACAAUAAAGGUAUUAUUAUUAUUAUUAUUAUUAUUAUUAUUAUUAUUAUGGCUGCUUUUUGUGGUGAACCGCUGAAGGUAGCAUUCUCUCAAUGAAGACCUUCUGGAUUGACUCCGCCUACAUGGCUUGCCAUCAGAUCAUCUGGGCAGCAAGGAGUAUUCACAGCUUUCUUUUCCUCCUGAACCAUUUCCACUGAAAGUCUUCCUGAGCUCUGGUGUGUCGCUGUGUUCUUGGUUGGUCUCUGCUCCUGCCUUGGUCUUUGGUUCUGAUCACUGACUGCAUCAUGUUCCCUGGCUCCUGGCUCAUCUCUGCCUGCUGCCCAGAACACAAGCCCUGGCAGUUGUUUGGCAAUUUGCUGUGCUUUUCUAUUUGUUCAUCAUUGUCUAGUAACAGCAGGAGGAGAGGCAGCAGACUUGUUGGGAACAACACCUGGCACCUCCUCCUAAAAAGCAGCUGUUGCUGCCUGCACUAUUUGAGAGAGAUAUAGAACUGUGCUGAAGGUCCCAAUAAUUCUUAGCAAGCUGGAUUCAGAAGAUGGGGGGGGGGAGCCUAUUCAGGCUCACCUCCCCAGCAGAGACUUGAGAAGCCAUGCUCACCUGUCCUUUUAUGCCACAUGAAGACAGGCUGCAGCUGGUGCAGAAUGUGGCUGCUAGAUUGGUAAAUCAGGUCCUCCCUUAAUGAGGGCACGUAUUGCAGUGAGACCUGGACAACCAGCACCCUGUGUUGUGGACAGUGGCGUAGUGUGGGGGGUGCAGGGGGGCCCGGCCGCACCGGGUGCAACAUCUGGGGGGGGCGCUCGCACUCGCAGCUCUCUGCCCCUAUUGCCCUGCCUGGUUACUCACAUUGUUGAUUGAUGUUCUGUUGGUCUAAAGGAUUGGCUGUUUUUUUUUUGGGGGGGUGGCAAUUGCCCACCAGUGGCGUAGUGUGGGGGGUGCAGGGGGGGGCCGGCCGCACCGUGCGCAACAUCUGGGGGGGCGCUCGCACUCGCAGCUCUCUGCCCCUACCUGGCUCACUCACUCUCUCUCACUGCAGUGCUGGCUGUGCGAAUCCGAUCCGAGCCGCUGGGUCGCCGCCUACUGUGGAGGGGGGUGGGUGCCAGGCGUGCGGUGCGGAGAGAGAGCGAGGGACUAUCUGGGGGAGGGACAGUGCAGCGGCCGCCCAGCGCAGCGCUGAGCGCGGGAGAGAACCACACCAGACCAGACCAGGCAGCAGCAAGAAGAAGCUGGCAGCGGCGGCAGGUUAGGGGUUGGGGGCGCAAAUUACUUGCCUUGCCCCAGGUAAGGGGGGGCAAAUUACUUGCCUUGCCCUGGGUUAGGGGGCGCAAAUUACUUGCCUUGCCCCGGGUGCUGACAACCCACGCUACGCCGCUCGUUGUGGAUGGAUACAAUUGGUCAGCCACAACACCCGAUUGGUAGGUCCCUCAAAGCUGGGUGCAAUCUGGCCAAUGGGACGCAGUCCAAAUGGUUCGAGGGAACUAUUUAUGCCCAUGCACGUGACCCAGAGCUUCCUCUUUCAGUGCAUGCAUUCAGAACACCCACCCACCUCUCUCUACUUUUAGGGCUUGCUCUUGACCUUGCUAUGCUGUCGUGUGUCGUCUGUCGUUGGGACAGGGGGAUGGCAGGAAUUUUCCCCACUUGGCUGAUUGGCUGUUGCCAUUUGGGUUUCACCUGCCACGUAGCAAAUUGUCACAACUUGUAAGGUUGUGGAUAGGCUCUGGUUCAGGUGAUAGGGAUGGGAGAACACUCUCGCCAUCCCUAUGUGAAGGGUAUUCCGUUAAAGGAAUCCAGGGACUCAAUGGUUUGGUCAACCCCUGAGAGGGGGUUGUGCCCAUGCCUGAGUCCAGGGGGACAUUUGGGUGGCGGAGUUAGCCCGUUCCCGGCUUUCUGCUUAUCCAGGUGUUCACCCUUGGCUGACCUAUGCUGGAACCCUGUGUCAGCGCUACCUCCAUGCAGGGAGCUAGUCAAACCAGACCCUAUGCAACCAGUCACUUUUUUGUAUAAAUAAAGUUGUGGCCUAAAUUCUGCCAAAAACCAAACCAAAAUUUUAGCCAUGUGUGAAUUUAUUUAGGGGGAGGGGGUUUCUGGGUCUGAACAAGCAAUGGGGCAGCCUGGUGGGACCCAGUGUCUCCAAAGCCAUAAUGGCUGCCAUUGAGAUACCAGGCACUGUUCAAGGUGUUAGUAUUACCAUUGAGAUACCAUAACAUCUUGACCAAUAGCAACCACCUCGGCCCCUACAAUUGGCAGGGGAGGCCCUGUUGGUGAUGCCGCUGAUGAGUUCUGCCCAGUUGCUUUCAUUGGAUCACCCUGAGUUCUAGUAUUUCUCCAUAUCAUCAAUAAUAUAAUGCAACUCUAUCCUGCCCCUCACCUCUUUACCCUCAUUUUUUCCUAAACCAAAAAGCCCCAAAUAUAACCUUUCCACAUAAGGGUGGUGCUCCACCCCUUUGGUUUUUUGGUUGUUCUUUUCUGAUGCUUUUCCAGCUCCUUUUUGGGGACAGGCCAUUCUUGUCACCUGUUGCCCUUUUCCAAUUAAUUAUUUACAUUUUCUCCCUGUUCGUGGAUCAUUUUAUUAGCUUUCAGGGUUCUUCAUUUUGGUGUUUUAGGGAAAUCUGUAUUUCUUUCAUACUCCUUUUCUUCUUCCCUCUCUCCCCAAUGUUGUCUUCAUUUUACACUCAUUUAUGUUUGCUUUCUAUACUUGGUAUUUGUACAGUACUUACUUUUCAUGACCUCUUUGUUUCUGCAGCUGCUGGUGGGUUUAUUUUAGGAGGUGAGGGAAUGGGCUGCUGGCUUUUACUCUGGCUUAUCAACCCAAAAGGCACAAAGGGAGAGUAAAGCAAAUCUCUAAAAAGGCAGGAAUCCAUUCACAGAACCCUGUCCAAUUUUUUGCUGUAAAUAAUUUAUUUUUAUUAUUCUUUAAUGAGAGAGAGAGAGAGAGAGCCAGGCCAGUUUCAUUAUUCAGAAGUGGUAGUGCCUGAAAUGUUAAGGUUGUGUCAGAAAUAUAAUGGAAGAUGAAAUACAUGACCAGUCUUAAUAACUUUUUUGUGGGGUACAUUUCUGGAGCUUUGCAAUGUCCUGAGUGGUUUCAAUUUUAAAAUGUAUGUAGGGGAGUUUUUGGAAGAUAAAUAAACAAGCAAACAAGAAAGAAAGAUGUGCUGAUAUAUAUUUUUAGAACAGUCACAGCCACCCCCAACCAACUUCUGGGGUCAAUUACAAGUUGUAUUAGCAUUAUCUUGGGCUUUUACGGCAGGAAAGUGUCCCUGAACAUAUGCAGAACAUAUUUCCCACCUUCCUGAGUAACUGAGCAGUCCCUCUUCAACACAUUAUAGGGUCCCAGUCUAUAAAAGCAAAGGGCAAUGUCUAGAGCUGGGCCAACGUUUUCAUCCCACACUUUUCCAGCAAUUUCACGGACAGAGGGAAAAGGUCAAGUGAAGAUAGUCUAUAGUUUCUGUAGGGGCAGGAGAGGUUACUAUUGUAAGAUGAGAUGACAGAGCUUUGCACUUAUUUCUCUUUCUUUUACUACCUGAAAAAUUGCUGAAAAUACCCCCUCUUUAAGGGGGACUAAUGGCUCUGUGUAAAUUGGCAGAGAGAGAUUUGAGUUAGAAGCAUAGAAAUGUAGAGUUGGAAGUCAUCACCUUACAUCCUUGCAUUGCAGCUUUGAGAUGAAUAAUCCAGUUUUUUUAUUUUUAACUAGGACUAUUUAUUUCUUAACUAUACAUCUAAAUGGCUGUUUAAGUGGUAAAUAAUACAGCUUUUUUUUAAAAAAAAAUGGAACAGAUGAGGUCAAUAGCAUUAGUAGAGUGCCUUUAUUUCACUGCCGCAUGAAUAUCAACUGAGCAUGCUCAGCCCCCCUUCCCUCUCUUUAGAAGUUAACACAACUUAAGGUACUAGAAAGGAGGAACUUGGGAAGUGUAGGGAUGCCAAGAAAGAGGGAACUUAGCCCAGGGCUAAAGUAACUGCUUUGAAUGCUGAAGGUCCCAACUUCAACCUUCACCAUCUCUCCUUCAGAAAGAAGGAGCAAGUGAUGGGAAACUUUGCCCGAGACUCUAGAGAGUCUCAGUCAGUCAAAGUAGACAAGACUGGGCUAGACAGAUGGAUGAUUAUGGCCUGGAAUAAGGCAGCUUCCCAUAGGCUGUCCCAGAGACCUCUGAAUCCCCAGGGCAACCUGUCCUUUCCAACAGAGAGGAAGACCUGCUCUUGCACUGCGUUUAGUCAUGUCAACCUUGGAAUGCCCAGCUUUCAGCCCAACAGGCAUUGCUCUCUGUGUGCAAUGAGAUGGCACAUAACCCCCAGAGACAUAUUGUAGAGGCCUCACAGGAAACCUCUGAUCUUACCAAUGGACCAGCACCUACAAGAAAGAAUCUCCUGUAGCCUUUUUGAGCAUUGGGUAGGGUGGUUGUGGUUGUGGACUGUCUCCAACCCAGCUGUGUUGAGAGAAUAGCAGCUUAUACAGGGAGAAUCUGGGCUCUAUAAUUUCAAGAAUUUGGCUGCUCUUCGGCUAAUUCAUAGAAUAUUAUUAUUUAUUAAAUUUUUGCACCACCCUUUAUCCAAAGCUCACAGGGUGGUUCAUAGAACAGCUUUUGGGAUGGGGCAUAAAAAAAUUGGAUCAUAUAAAAAUAGUUAAGCAGUGAACAUCUUGGCCAAAUUGAUCUAUACACCUAUACACAGCACUAGCACUCCCCACCAACAAAAGAAGAUUUGCAGUCAUGUGUUUAAUCAUCAUCAUCAUCUAGGAUGCUGCCUUCUACUGAGUCAGGUCCUUGGUUCAUCUCGCUCAGCACUGUCAAUACUGACUGGUAGUGGCUCUACAGGAGACAUUCCCAGGCCUGCCUGGACUGAAGCUAGGACCUCUUGCAUGCAAAGUAGAUGCCCUAAGACCGAGCUACAGCUCUUGCCUAAACCAAGCUUGCUUGGGUAUUUUUUAAAUUUAAAGUCUUUACAUCCCACUCUGCAAACUUCCUGGGGCAGGGAGCUAAUUUCCAUAAAGCACCAAGAACAUUGAUGGCAGCAAACAUAUGCAUGUCCUUCUUAAUUGCACAUGUAUUUUAUAUCAUUUCCUUGCCACAAGAUUUGUUCAUUUAUGGGAUUCCUUACCCGCCCUUCACCAAAAAGGUGGGCUAUUACAAUGCAGGUUACAACAAUAUAACAUUGUAAACAGUUAAGGCAAUUUACAUCAGAGUAUUAAAAUCAGUUAAUAUUUAUAAUAUGUCUUAUAUAAAGUAGUCCUAAGACACAGCAUCAUUCCGUUCAGUGAAUCAAGAGUAUUCUGCUAUUUAAAGAAGCCAACAAAUAGUUUCCAAUGAAUCAUUGUGUUUUCAUGGCAUCUGAUGCUUCAUUAGCACAUCUGAAUUGUUCUAACUCUCUCUUGAUAUCCUGGAUAUAAAUGUUUAGGAUUGUGUAGGGACUAGGGGAAAUAAUUAGCCAAGGCACAAAUUACAGUUAGGGUACCUUACGACAAUUGACAUUCAAAGUACUGAGGCAGCUAUUUGCCAUUUGUGAUUUGGGGAAUCUCAGCUUUGUGUCCAUUAUAGUUAAACAAAGCCUAAUUUUAUAGCUGUGUAUGCUAUAAAAUUGGAUCAAAAUGGAUCUGGGUUAAUUCUAUUCGGCGGAAUUUGGUGUUCUCUCACUUAGGAUAAAUGGUUAGUAUUGGAGAUAUGGAGUCGUGAUAGCAAUAUGCCAUAAAAUCCAGAUUGUGGAUAGACCAAAAAGUGUUCACAAAAAAUAAAACCUGGAUGAAACCACUCAAUGAAAUUGUUUAUAAUUACUUGUCCCAUCCAUAUACACAGAUAUUGUAUAGGCUCACAUCCUUCCUUGCACUUACAUAAGUUUAGCUCUGUUGGUUUAGCUAAUCAGAUGCCUCUCUCACUGUUAUUUCCAGCAACUGGUAUUCAGAUACAUGCUGUGUCUGAUUCUGAAUGGAAUAUAUAGUCAUAAUGGCUAGCAACCUGCAUGAAUUUGUCUUUUUGUCCCUUCAAAGCUAUUUAAAUAAAGUCACUAGUCCUGAAAGUGCUGCAUUUUUAUUUAUUUAUUUGAAAGUAUUUAAAUAUUGUCUGAUAUUUUAAAAAAUCUCUAAGCAGUGUCAGUGAGUUACUGGGUCUAAUUUAAGGUGUUAGACUGGAAAGUAGCCAAUGUAACACCAAUUUUUAAAAAGAGGUCAAGGGGAAAUCCCGGAAAUUACCGUCUAAUUAGCUGAGAAACUCUGUCCUGGGAAAACUAGUGGAAAGUAUUGUUUAAGAGAAAAUAACCAAGCAUAUAGAAGAACAAGUCUUGCUGAAGCAGAGCCAGCACAGCUUCUGGAAGGGCAAGUCCUGUCUCACCAACCUAUGAGAGUUCUUUGAGAGUGUGAACAACUAUAUAGACAGACGUGACCUGGUGGACAUAGUGUACUUUGACUUUCCAAAAGCUCUUGACUCAAGGCCUUUUUGCACCAUUUAAAGUUGCAUAGUUGCAACUUUUAAAAUAUGUUUUGGACAGGUUAUCACAAGACAUCAUUCAGCUGUUAUGAUAAAGUUCUCAAAAACCAACUUUUCCCUACACCGCUUUGAAAAAGACUUUUGGGAAAGAUUCCGGCUGGAUCCUCAGUAAUUUCCAUUGUGUGGAAUACAUGCAGGCACCAUCCUGCUUUCUGUGUUGGGGUUGUUGGGGGUGGUUUUGGAGACAUCAGUUUUCUGCCACUUCCCUCUGACUGGUGCAUACUGUCAAUUUGUGAGCUUAGUUCAGAGGACAGGUUGGGCAGAUGGAAGUGUCAAAGUACUGCCCAUGACAGCAAUCAUUAGCUGCAUAUAAAAUUUCAUGACAAGAACAAGGUUGUUGAUGUUGGCUAUUGCUCAGGGAGUCACAAAGUUCCUCAUCUAAUCUCCUAUACUCCCAACAAGAUCAGUAUUCUGGAAUACUAGGCAUUAAAAAGUUUUAAGCCAAAAAAGGGGGCAUUCCCUUGCACAUGUUUAUAACUCUGACAUUUACUUGCUGGAGGAACAUGAGGGUACAUUAGGAGUGUGACUACAAUCGUGGAACUUUUCUCAGUUCAGGGAAAAUCUACACUCAUUCAAAAUAGCGACAUGUGAGUAAAGAAAAUAAAGAAGAGGAAAAGUUGGUGUCCAUCACCAUAUUUCGCAUGGCAGUGGGUUCCACAGAUGGACGAUGUACUGUGUGAAGCUCUCACUUUUGACUGUCCUGAAUCUCCCACCAUUGUCCUGCCCCUCCGCUGGUCCCCUCACUACACAUAGAAAUGAAUGGCUGAAACCAGGAAAUCUCCUCUAAACCAGUAUUAUUGAAGAGAAGAUUAAAAAUAGCUGAAGUCUUGAACUUAGAGGCCAACGUGUAUACGGGUGCAACCUCAGAAGCUGAGCAAAUAUAUGACUGACAGAAGGUUCGUCUGAGUUUGGUGGCGCUUACUCCCAAGUAAGUUUGCAUAGGACUGUAGCCCUUUUCUUUUCUCAUUCACACAGCGAGAUAAUUGACUCAGACAAGGAUAGUGUGUAGCAUAAAUGAAAACUGUAUGUAUACCCAGCCGUCUCGACUGACGUAAGCAUAGCUCUUGCCCGGUGAAUGGCUAGCAUUUUUGUCAUAAUGAGGUGCCAGCCACUGCACAAGUCACAACUCGCAAAACUAAGCCGACUUAUUUAUUUUAUUAAGUUACAAUGAGUAGAUGAUAUGAGCCAAGGAAACAGUCCUGGCUAACACAUACCAAAUAAAUUCAAAUUAGAAACAGGCUCCUGAAAGCUAACAGUUUUUUCUUUGCCUCAGAAAGUUCAACACAUGAAAAUGAUCGAAAAACUCAAGGCCUGCAGUUCAAUAAGAAAGCACAAGCUUGGAUAACAAGAUGCCCUUAACUGUGCUACAGUGGUAAAACAAUGUUCAUAAAUGUGAUGAAUUGAUCUGAGUUAGAUAAUAAGGAUCUCGCCUUCCUCCAUAUGAUAAACCCUCAGAUUUAGAGAAAAUGUCGGGAAAGCUUUGUUGGUGUCUUUUGUUCUGAAAUGAUGAACUUUUGGUCAUAUUAUACUUACACAGUUUUCAUUGUAGCUAUCUUAUUUUUAAUUGUGUAUAUCAGUACAAAGAAGAUACAGCGAGAUUUCAAAAGGCCUCAUUGUUUGAUACCUGUAACCAAACUGGGACCUAUUUCACACAUAGUAGUUUUCCUACAUGGAGGUAGGAAAACAAGUAUACACCAAGGCACCACAAGACACAACUGAUCUACAGCAUGAGAAGCUUGUUUGCCAAUUACAACUUCCCAACCUAUGCAGAUGGACUAAAAUAUAUGCAUUCAUGAUUUGUGCACAUAGUAAUGUACAUGAGCGUUCAUGAGCUUUUUCUCUUCCUUUGUCAUGGACUGGUAGGACGCAGAGGAACGUUGGGAGGAACCAGCUGGGGAACCACCAAGGGAAGAAGGCUCAGAGCUGCAGGGACAGGGAAGGUGAUGGGUGGUCAGAGACAGGAGAAGACUGGCAGGAGGAAGUGUCAGAAGCUGAGGAGGUGACAAGGCUUGGUGAGAAGGGUGGUUCUGUGGCAGAGAGAAGUCCAGAAUCAGAAGCUGAAGCUGGUGAGUGGGAAGGAGGUCACGAGGCAGAAAUGAGUUGGGCUAAUGAAGAGUCAUGGGUGUAGCUCCCUCCUGCUGCAACAUGCUCAACUUCCCCGUCUCUCAGAACAAGGAGAGGCAUGAAAAGGGGGAAGGAGAGAUUGGCUGCCCAGAGGGAAAAAGCCUUGGAGAGGAGGAAACAUAGACAGCUGUGGGGAGCCUUUCAGCCUCAGCAACUGAUGGAGUAAGACCCACCAGGAAUGAGAUGCUGAGCUCAUUAGGCCUGAUGCUCAGCCAAGUCUGUGAAGAUUGUGUUUUUGCUAGUAAAGAGUGAACUCCAACUUUGGUCUGUGUGAUUGCUGACCAGCAUGCUCUGUGACAUCCUAAGGGUUUACCCCCUUGCACACUUGCAUUGUGUUGAACGACCCAAUGCAAGAAAAUGGAGUUCACAUAUUGUAAAGAGAUCAUAAAAUAAGUUUGCAGUGUCUCAGAAAUCUAGGGUUGUCAUAUAUCCCAGUUGUUGUUGUUUUUAGUCAAAGUUGUUGAGCCCCCCCCCCCUAGGUUUUUGGGCUUCUCUUGGAUUUUUAAAGCUUUAUUUUAUUUUAAAAAUCACCCUGCUUGGCAUAUGUCCAGGUUUUCCCAGCCAUUUUGCUGAUUCAGCAAAAAUCCACCCAGACACCAUUUUUGUAGCCUGAUUCCUGGAUGUGUCCGGGGAAACCUUUAUUUAUGGCAGCCCUACACAAAUCAGAUGUCAGUAUCAGUUUAUCAGUGAGAGUCUGUGAGACUCCAGUCCCAGCUAUAGAGUUUUGUACAAAUGGAAAUCAGCAAUCAAUAUCAAAUGUCAGAACAGCAUUCAGAUGAAGUACUUAGCUACAUAAAUGAUUUAUGUCUGUUUCCCAGUGUAUGUACAACAUUCACUGUCCUUGGUUUUUUAAAAAAAGUAACAAUAUGUUUUAGCGAAGGCAAGCAAGAUGGUUUGAGCAUAUACAGUAACGCUAAUCCUAGCCUGACGGCACUGGCUGCCAACUAGUUUUCAGGCCCAAUUAAACAAUCUGUUGCCUUUUAAACAGAGUGUGUUUGUGUUUGUUACUUACUAUGUUAUGUGUUUUGUGUUUUUAUAUUAGAAAUUACCUUGCAAUCCUCAGAUGAAGGGAGGUAUACAAAUUCAAUAAAUAAAAUACAUUCUUAACUUAUGGGGGGGGGAAACAACCACACUUUUCCAGCUAAGAUAUCUUAACAACAGAAUUCAAAUAACAAAAAAUGCUCCAGGACUAAUGAAAUAACUAGAUUUAACAUGCCCACAACCCAAGCAGACAUCUAACGCAUUGCUUUAACUGUGUGAUUAUUUAAUGCAUUAUUAUUUCUCAGAUGGCCCCUACAGUCAUGCUGUUUAUACAAAUGUUCGCUGGCAACUUUGCACUCAGUAUAUAUAAUUUUACUGUUUGAACUUAAAAGUCACAAGGCUGAAAUAAAAAGGCAUGGGUGGCGCCUUGCCAUACUGCCCCUGGAGAACAAGAGGCCGACAGCUCAUGAUUCGGUGCCAACAGGUUGCUGGGAACUCGACUAAACGGAGCAGCAAUAAGUCUACACAGUGGAGCUUUGCUGAAAGAUGUGAUCACACCUCCUAAUGUGACUCCAUGGCUCUGUUACUUACAGCUAAAUUACAUUAUUAUGACUUCAUUGUUGAAUCCCAAUUCUCCUAAUUAUAGCCUAGAGAUCUAUUAUUUGAUUUUGUAACACCAAGUGCUUCUUUUCUAAAUCAUGUAAUCUCUUGUAGCUUAUUAAUGUCAGGUUUGCGCACACACAGGGACUUGGUUGUUUGCCAGGCAGAAUCAAAUUUUCAAAUUUUCACUGUGUUAUGUUGUGAGGAUUUGCUUGUUACAAUCUAAUUAUAUUGGCACUGAAAGCAAAAUUAUAUUAUAAAGCACUUUAACUCUUUCACGGGAACAGAUUUGCAUAUGUUAAGUGUCCUCAUUGCCAUUGGUUUAUUAGCCUUUUCAUCAGAAAAUAUCUCUUGGAAUUGUAUGCCGAAGAUAAGAAUUUCUGUGGUGUUACCACUUUAUCUUCACUGGAAUGUGGCUUUCAGUUCAUUAAAAUAUUCUCUCAAAAUAUGGGAUGUGAAACUACCAUAUAGUAAUAUGAACAUUUAGGAGUCCUGUGGCACCAUUAAUAUUAGGUUUUUUUUAUUGUGGCAUUAACUUUCAUGGGCAGAAGCCCACUUUCUCAGGAAAAAAAAACAGCAGUGUUGUUUGCAUCAGUUACCUUGUUCGUUCAUACUUGUAGGAUUCCUAGCCAUGGAUUUCAUGUGAACGGCAGUACAGUGGUACCUUGGGUUACAUACGCUUCAGGUUACAUACGCUUCAGGUUACAGACUCCACUAAUCCAGAAAUAGUGCUUCAGGUUAAGAACUUUGCUUCAGGAUGAGAAUAGAAAUUGUGCUCCGGCGGUCCAGCGGCAGCAGGAGGCCCCAUUAGCUAAAGUGGUGCUUCAGGUUAAGAACAGUUUCAGGUUAAGAACGGACCUCCGGAACAAAUUAAGUACUUAACCCGAGGUACCACUGUAUCUGCAGUCCUUAAAUCAUAUAGUCAGGAAUACAGUGCCAUUUAUAUAAAAGAAGCUAAUAUAGAUAGUUGCUUACAUCAGACAAAAGUUGGCAAUCAUUCAUUCAUGUUAGCUGACACAGUACAUAUUUCUCUAUCCCUGCAGUGAACUUGUUCUAGAGAAAAGAAGCCUAUGCAGACUUUGUAGUCCAGAGGAUGCUCCUUGAGCUACGGUACAUUAACCUGAAUGACACAAUCUGCUCUUACAGAUAAAAGAAUCAAAAGAUGCACUGUGCAGUGUGGUUCUCUGUGAGUCAUGGUGUCGGAGGCAAAUAAUGCACCAACCCUGCAGAAGCUGAGCAGGUCUUGGUUUGGUGUGGGAGACUGCUUGGGAACCCUAUAGAAUAUACAUUGGCUGGAUGUAGAUAUAAUGAGUAAUGCUUAAGUCAGUACUCAAGACACAAUGUCAGAUUUAACUAACUUGAUCACUGAUAUUGAGAAAUUGUUAUGGGACUAUCAAUGUUCUUUAUUGUCUACAUUCUGAAAGUGACUAGAACCACAAAUGUCAAGAACCUCAUAUUUUGUGCUUUACACAAACAUAUAGAAUUUACUUAUACAAUUUCUUGGUUUUAUUAUUAUGGGUCAAAUGAAACCACUACCUAAGGCUGUGACAAAUGUUCUUGACCAGUACUUUUGGUAUAUAGGGGAAUUUGGGGGAGGGGGGGCUUGCUCUCUCUGCUAUAGAUGUCCUCUGUGAGGGCAUUCUUGUGUCCUCCAUGGCAAUCAUCCCAUAUUAAUUUACAUUUAAAAUCCUUCAUCAGUUCAGAUCCCGGAGUAGUUUACAACAGCAUUCUGCCCAUCUGCAAUUCUCAGGGGAGGGAGGGAGGGGGAGAGAGAGAGAGAGAGAGAGAGAGAGAGAGAGAGAGAGAGAGAGAUCUAAGGUCUCCUCCCACUGAUCUUCAUUGCUCACUGCAGAUUUGAACCUGCCAACGUGUAACCAACCACUAUGCCACAAUGGCUUCCAAACCAUAUACUGCACAACUGUAUGGGUUUCACUCACAGAGAAGUGUCCAUUUUUCAUAGGAAUAAACCAAGGUCUGGGGAGAUUGCAUUAUUCAGCCAAGAGCUUGUGGCAGGCCCAAGCCCUUAGGUUUAACUGAAAAGCUGACCUUGUUACCUAAUUAUAAUAUAUUUCACUUUCCUAUUAUUAGUCUGCAGUGUCUGAAAACGAUGCUGUUUCAGCUGGAUUUAAUGUUAUGCGUGUUCCAGUUAUAUAUACUUUUUUCUGGGAAAAUAUUUAAUACAAAAUCAAUUACUAAUAAAAGGGAAUUUGAACCCAAAGGAGACUCCCCCCAGAAAACCAAUUUUCAGUGGCAAUGUGACCCAUUAAUGAGCUCUGCUCUGUGCUGCCAUUGUGCUGAGUGCCUCCUAAUGAAAUACAGCAGGUUAAUGGUUGUGGUACAGUGGACUUAAAUAUGAACCACAGCAGGUGUGUAUCUUAAUGAGGUGUUAAUAGUGCGGCAGGUGCAUGUAAAUAAGGAACACUGAGGGUAGUAAUGGGUAAGUCAAGAGGGCCAAGUACCGAAAACAUUGAAAGCUGGAACACACAUAAUGGCUCGUUUACGCUCUGAUUGUUUGCAAUGCAAUGUUUGCUCCCCAGCAAGUGAAUCUGGAAAAGUAUUUUAAAUGAUCACAUUGUCCUCACAGAGUUCUAUUUAGAAGAUAUUUCAAGGCAUUUGUGGCAAUGUCUAGUGCAUUGAGGCUGGGCAGAAAACUCCAGCUUUUACUCAUUCCAUUCUGCCACUUUUUUUGUUUCUUGGGAUGGGCAAAAAUGCCCAUUUCAGUUACUCCGUGUUUUUCAUUUUUUUAAAUCUUCACUUCUCCACAUUUCUAAAUCUGCUUCCUUGAGGGAAAAAAGUUCUCAUGAAAAUUCAUCAGCAUUUUAGUGUGAAUUUCUCCUAAUUUACACAUUUUUGCAUGCAGUUUUUCCUAAAAUACACAUUUUUGUAUCUUCCCCUGAUAUAAUGUAUUUUUGCAUGUCACUUUCACUAAUAUAUGCAUUUUUACGCACACUUUAAUCUAAUAACUGUUGUGCACAUUACCUGACUGGAGAUUUGUCUUAUAAAAUUUGGAGAAGUGCAAAUUUCAAAAGAUAUCUGUGCUUCGGGUUACAUACCGGUUCAGAAAGUAUGCAACUGGUAAGUUAGCCUUUAGAUGCAAACUGAAUUGAAUUUCUGCUCCAUCCCUGAUCACCACUUCAAAAGCUUUUCAGUGAUGUUAUUCCUAACAAAUUAAAUGUCCUCUUCUUAGCUCUGUUUCUCCUUUACUUGUCUGCUGCUUGUAGCACCAACCUCACUGCUCACAAUAUCUUUCUACCACCUUGGCAGAAAGGAAAGCAUUCCUUCCUUCUUCUGUUUUAUCUUUCCAAUAUUUUCUCUUACAAAAAUCAUGCCACUAGCCCAGAAAAACUCAUUCUGCUUGAUACAAUAUCCUCAGGUAAGAUAGAAAAAAUUGCUCAGUGGCAGAGCAGCUACUUUCAAUGUGAAAGGUCCCUGGUUCAGUUCCUGGAACCUCAAGGCAAGGCAGAGAGAGGCCGCAGCCUAAAACCCUGGUGAGUCACUGUCUAUCAUUGUUGAUAAUACUGGGCUAGAUGGUCAGCUUUCUGAGUUUCUAUGUUCUUUUUGCUCAUAUUUCCUGCUGGGAAGAUCUCCAGCAUCUCACGUUAAAUAUGAUGAAAAGCAGAGCUCCUGAUCUCUUCCCCAGCACCAUACCCCAGCUCUCUUUCCUUACAGCUAGAAAGGCACUGUUUUAGUGUAUUUUAAGAAGUUUACAUUUUGUACUCUGUUGCAUAGGAGUCAACUCCCAGGGGCUGUGGGGGCUUCGGCAAUAAUAAUAAUAAUAAUAAUAAUAAUAAUAAUAAAUUAUUAUUUAUACCCGGGUUUCCCCACCCACUCUGGGUGGCUUCCAACAAAACACUAAAAUACAAAAAUAUUAAAAGCUUCCCUAAACAGGGCUGCCUUUAGAUGUCUUCUAAAAGUUUGGUAGUUAUUUUUCUCUUUGACAUCGGUGGGAGGGUGUUCCACAGGGCGGGUGUCACUACCGAGAAGGCCCUCUGCCUGGUUCCCUGUAACUUGUCUUCUCGCAGUGAGGGAACCGCCAGAAGGCCCUUGGCGCUGGACCUCAGUGUCCGGGCAGAACGAUGGAGGUGGAGACGCUCCUUCAGGUAUACUGAACCAAGGCCAUUUAGGGCUUUAAAGGUCAGCACCAACACUUUGAAUUGUGCUCGGAAAUGUACUGGAAGCCAGUGUAGGUCUUUCAAGACCGGUGUUAUAUGGUCUCAGUGGCCGCUCCCAGCCACCAGUCUAGCUGCCACAUUCUGGAUUAGUUGUAGUUUCCGGGUCACCUUCAAAGGUAGCCCCACAUAGAGCGCAUUGCAGUAGUCUAAGCGAGAGAUAACCAGAGCAUGUACCACUCGACAGCUCGCCCCCCCCCCAAAGAUGACGAGCAUUCCCAUUCAAAUGGUUUUGUGCGCACUGUGUCAUGUGAUCGAUUAUGCAGGGGAAGGGCUUUCCUGGGCCCCCACAAUAUUUUAUUCAAGUUGGCACCCCUGCUCUGUUGUAAAAGAGCAUGGAGUACAAUAGAACAGGAUUGUAGAAGUAUAACAGCUCAUUGAGAAUCUCAAAAACAAAAUAUGGAAGCUGCCACCACCACUGCUAAAGGAAACAAUAACAAAGAGUAGGCCUAGCCCCUUCAAUAAUGAACAGUGGGCCUAGCCCCUAUUUGAAGGCCUGAAUUUACUCCUUCUUUACUCCCUCACAACAGUCACCAAAAUAAUAAUGUUAGAAGUUUUCAUAUCAGCCUAAGUCUGCCCCUGGCUGGCAGUGGUAUGGCUUGGUAGAGCCAUGCAGCCACUACUGCAACCACAGACCCAUUGCUUGCACAGGCCAGGGAGGAAGGUGGGAAGCAAUAAGGAUGAGGAUGCCCCUUUACUGUGCCAGAUCCCAGACUGACAUAGUAAAGAGGCCUGGACUGCCCCUGUUGCUAUCAGAACCACCCCUCACAAUGCCCCAUUGUGGGUGAGGGAGGUUUCCUCUGGCUAUACCAUUGGCAGGGACACUGCUGGCAGUAGCUUCCUACCUGCUGCUUGCAUGGGCACUUUGGGGUGCUCCUUGCUUGUGGGUCUUUCCCACCAAUAAGAAAGCUCCUCCACCAGUGAGGGAUGAUGGACGGACACUUUAACUCCACCUAAAUCCCUUCUGUUGAAGAGCAUCUGUGCCUUGGAUCGCUCUGGAAAACAGUUUCUCUUCGAAAGCCUGGUCUAAAUCCAGAUUAAUAGAUCUAGAUCAGAAGAGGGCAGACUUCAGACUUGUUUUUGUACUUUGCAUCUGUGUGCAACGUUUAUUCUUCACUAAAACUUCAGCCAGAGCCAGAUGCAAAAUAGAAAUAAGGAACAUUCAGAGCCUAGGAAUUUGUUUUCACUACCAGAGCAGGACACAAACCUUUCAUACAAAAAGAAACUCUUGGUGGGUUUUCUUCAUUUUAGCAACUGAAAUUAGGCGGGAAAAGCAGUUUUGUUUGUUGCUAUCGUUAAACAAUUGGGUGUCAGAAACAUUUACUGAUUUACUGCGGAUCAGCCCAAGGUCUACCAGUAGUUUCCGGUCUGUCUACCUUCUGCUCACCCCUCAACUAGAAUGUGGUUGUUGCUUUAAAGAGUAAUUACAGACAUUUCACUUCAUAAGAUUUCAGUAUUUAUAACUUUUCCACCUAUUGAACUGCUCCAUUUAUAUGGAACAAGAGAAAUUAUAGAUCCAAGCCUUGGGUGAAAAGUAGAAAAGAAACCUUGCGUUGAGAAGCCAGGGUCGGGGAGAAAACAUAUGUUAGUCUUGUGAGGUGUUCAUUUCUGUUCAAUUUGUGAGUGAAGCUGACAGGCACUUUAGACAACUUACCAUGACACCGGGUGCCAUAAACGUGACGCAGAGAUCCAUAAAUGUGACAGAGUGUUUCUAAAAGAACCACCGACAUUUAAAGCAUCAUUCUCAUUCUCCAAAAGUGGAAUAUUUACUGUAAGUGCAGAUUGUUGAGUUCUGGUGGGUAAUCUGCUACCUGCACUGCUGUAAUGUGUUUGUGAAUACUCAUAACAAGUAUGCAAAUUAUCAGCCUCCAUGACUUGACUGUGCUGCAAACCAGAGCUGACAGCACAAUAGAAUACAAUAAAAGGAAGUGUCAGCAUUGCACUCUGAAUGCUGGAACAUAGAGAAACAAACACCAUGAGUGCAAACCAAAAUAAAUAUAUGUAAUUGACAAGUGUACAGUAUCACGUAUAGCUCCUUGCAGUACCCUGUUUAUUAUAGGAGCCAGCCAAGUAUAGAGGCAUGCCCCCAGCACCCAAACAAUUUAAAAAGAAGAUGGGAAUUGGCAGGUGUACAUUCCCCUCCCCCCAUAUAUAUAUAUAUAUAUAUAUAUAUAUAUAUUAGCAAAACAUAAUCAGAAAGCUAAGUUAAAUUCUUGCACAAAAAAUAAUAAUAAUGAUUGUUAAGAGAUAAUUGGGGCAGAAAAGUUGGAUUUCUCAAGGCAGACAUCACUCUUACAGGAUUGGGACCGCCAUCCAUAAUCCAAUAUGAUACUUCAAAUUAUGGACAGAAUAAGAGAAGACGAGGAAAGAGGGAUAUUGAUCUUCUUUCCCCCCUCUUCCUUCAGCUUACAGGAUUUUUCCUCUGUACCCCAUUAUGCCUCAACAAUCAGGAAAAAGACCCCCUUUUGCUUAUUCUGCUGAUAAAGCCCUAGAGGCAGAGAGGUAAAAGCAGCGGACCUGUUGCAAGGAGGCCUCUGUGACUGGACCCCUAUAUUCACUAUGCCCCCUUGGAUGGCUUCUGGGAUGUGGGCACGGGAUUGCUGCCUAAAUCAUUUCACAGUUUUGAAAUAUGAUUGAGGUUCAUUUUAGGGGAAAGCAGAGAAACAGUAUAGGAGAUUGUGCAGGCCAUGAGUGUAUGGAGGUUUCAUUCUGAUUCUAAAACGUUAGGAUGUUCACAUAAGCAUUUGACUAUUCAUACGCAUUUCUUCAUAGACUCUAUGUGCAACAUACAGUUCAUUUUUUCAUCUCAUUGUUAAGUGCAAUAUGUGAAUGCUGGUAAGUGCUGAUUAGUUUAAGAUUAGAAAUGAAUGCAUUAAAGGCCACACGAAGCUAGAAUUCAUGAAAACUGCGUGCUGCAGCUUCAUGAACUGGAAUCAGGAACUGGUGUAAACUAGAGGAUGCUACAUUUUGUUCACAUCUAAGUCACAGCUUGUUUUUAUUUUUCCUUAUUUAUCUUUUCUUGCCACACAGUUUAAGCUAGUGUGCUUAGUUGGAAAAACAUGUUUAAUUGCACUUUACAGAUAUUCUCAUUUGAAAAGAAGAAAAAUGUUUUUCAAAUAAAGUUCUAAAAUGUUUAGGGAAACAUCUGGACAUUUUUUUAUAAAAAGAAUAUGAGAGACAUGUAGAACCUCAGAUUCUUUAGAAGGCUGCGUGUUACAAAUGUAUUUGAUACGAUGGAAGAAACAGCCCACACAAUAAUCUGUUCUCACUCUUUUAAUGUAAAGCAGUCUCUGUUGCUAAACACAAAUUUGAUACAGUGGAAUUCACUUCCGUUACAUUCUAAAUCUGAAGUCAAUAUGAAAAAUAGAUUUUUCAUUUGGUGUUUCAAAUUUAUUUUUAUUCCUUUAUUUUAAAAAAGAAAAGAGAAACUGUUUACAAUUGGGCUCAAUUUAAUUUAAUCUGAAGACUCUUUCUCUCAUGAUAACAUGUAGCAGGAACAAAUAGUUGUGCAAGUGAUGCAUGAGUCAGCUUUUCAAGGCCUGUUGCCUUGACUCAAAAUGGGGACUCACCAGGAGCAGGAUAUGAACACUCCCAUAUAUACUAUGUUUCACACAAUAAGGGAUUAUUUCUCAGAAACCCCUAUAUCUAGAGGGACAACACAGUGUUGUGGUUUGAGUGUCCCAAUUCAGCCUGAAACUCCUUGGGUGACCUUGAGCCAAUAACUGUCUUUCAGCUGAACCUACCUCAAACAGUGGUUUUGAGAAUAAAAAUGGUGGCAGCAGUGUGGGGAGAAAACAAUGUAUGCCACUUUGAGUGCUGUGGAUGAAAGGAAGUUUAUAAAUGUCAUAGUGAAUCAAUAAACAAAAGUAUAGUUGUCAUGAGAUGCACAUACAAAGGAACCACAACAAACACUCUUUUGAAAAUGGCUUCUUGUCAUUUAGCAUUGGAUAGUUUUGAGAACAUACUUUCACUAUUGCUGUGAAUUUCUUUGUCCUCUGCCUGAAACACACACAGGGGAAGCUGAAAUGUUGCUCUUAGGACUUCCAGUUUGCUCUAUGAGAAAAAAGAUGCAUGAGAGAAAAAGAUAAGAGUCCCGUGCAGCUCCCUGCGAUAGAGAAUAUGAGUUCACUUCUUAUACAAGACAAUAAGCAACAAAUGGAGUAUGUAUCACUUCCACGCCUGCUGUUCUUACACAUGUUUGACUAUAGUACAUUUCUCAGGAAAACUCUAAAACAGGAAAAUAAUGCAGCCCACAAUGUAGAAAAACAAAUAUAUAUAUAUAUACAAUAUUGGCUGCUACAGUAUGCAGAUCUAAUGGGUUGGAGCCAGACUUAGUCAUGCUUAGAACUUAUGUCCCCUUGAUCUAAAUGUUCCUACUCUAUGCAUGACAGGAAGCCUGGAUCCUAUCUCCCAUAAAGGAAUCAUGCAGUUAGGGAACCCAAGAGCAAUCUGCAGCUUUGAUUGGGUAGGAAACCUACUAAAUACCACGAGUUACUGAAUAUCAGGAGAAGGGAAACUCAGAUCCUAAACAUCUGCUGCCUUAUGGCUAUAUUCAUUCGUGAGAAAGGCUUCAGGAGUAAACCCCGAGGAAAAAUCUGUACCCACUGCUUGUGGGACAUCUUGGGGAGAAGAAAAGGCUAAGGAGUAAACCCUACACAUAUCUGGAGUGGAAUCCCUAAGACAGUUGAAUGGCAUAUUGUGUGCCUCCUUCUCAUAACUCCUGCAGCCAAGCUGGUGCCAAAUACUGGUAUAUUGCUCUGCUUUCCUUUGGAUCACAUUAGGGAAGCUGAGAGUGGGGUCUUGUCAUCUGGGUAGCCCAGGACCUCCAUAUACACUGCCCAGGCUUGUGCCCCAGAGUGGAGGCACACUCCAUUGUCUUGUGAGACAGAAAGAUGCCAACAACUGGAUAUUACAGAAAGUCCUUCUUCCACAUAGGAUUCAAAUUUCUGUUCGUAUACAGCAAUGUUUUUAAUAGAGAACACACAAGUUUUCAGGUAAAGAUGCCACCUAGCAGUCCUGUGAAUAACAUCCACCCUGCUGAACAGCUACUGCAUUGGGGCAUUGUUCACAGAAAGUGAAAUCCCAGGAAUCUAGGAUUCAUGCAAUUCCCACGUUAAUCUGUGCACCUUGAAGUUACGUUGUGGCUAAUGCUGCUAUAAGUAUUGCAGUCUCUUCUGGACUGGGCUACCGAUGGCUUUAUGGUCACUCUUUUCUUCUUCUAUUAGGACACAGUCUAUGCUUGUCUGUGUUCUCCCAUUCCGGACUGCAUAGUUCUGGCUCUAAAUUGGAAAACAAAUAGCUACUGGCAGCUUGGAUUACAGCUAUAAUUUUAGGAAAUGGUGGACUAUAUCGAGAGAGGGCAGAAAGUAAUGUAAUACAAGAGUCAGUGGAAUGACUUGCUUAAAUACAUAUUAAAGAAUAAUACGGUAGAUAAAUUGUUUAGUUUUUAAAAGCAUUCACAGUCUGCAACGCUAUCCAGGAGAGCCAGAACACUCUUCUCCUCUAAUCAUUUCUGAAGACUCCAAAACAGCACACACAUUUUAGCAUACUUGAAUUAUCAUUUGCUGCAAUGCUGUUCCGUUUCAGCUGCAUAUAUGAACAAUCUAAACUAUCUGAUUUAAUGUAGCUUCUAACAACCUGCUUUUGUGAUAUGCCACUUCAUACCUGCAUGCACACCUCGUAAAUACACAGAAAUUUGUGCCCAGAACAAUGCCACAAUUCUAAAGUGGCUUUGAGAACAUGACAAGGUGAGUUACAUAUCCACUUAUUUUGAGGGUGCCAGAUUUGUGUGCACAUUAAGACAUUGGGGAAGAAAACUUCCCCAGUUUUAUUUUUUCCUUGUGAGGGUGACUGAAUGGCCUCAAACAGUGGUACCGUCCUUCACGAAACACCUGCCAGGUUGAUGUGUUUGCUGAGGAAUCCCUGCCUUCUGCCAUGAGCCUCGUGAGGCAUGUUCUAUGCAGCCCAAACGCAUGAGUCAUUGCCCCAGUCUCUUGUAGCAUAGCCCAACAUUGCUCCAGAGUGAACCAAAGAACAUGGGAAGUUUGGAAGCGUAGAAGUUUUAAAGCCUUUAAAGAAAGAAGCAGAGUCUGUACAUUGUUAACUGAGCCAUGUCCAGUUGCCCACUGUGCUCACAGCACACACUAUGAUGGCACAUCCCUCGAUAUUGCUGAGUUCCCAUUAUCCUUACACAGCCAAGGUAACCUGAAAACAAUGCCUCUUAGUUAUGGCAGUAGGUCAUUAGAGGUGGGAAGAGGAAGAUGGGGGUGGGGAGGGAGAAGAUCAAGGGCAGGAGCAGGGAAUCUUUGACUCUCCAGAAGAUGCUGAACUACAACUCCCAGCAGUCCUAGUGAGCAUGAUCAAUGACUAGGGUUGAUGGGAGUUGUAACUCAGCAACAUCUGCAAGGCCACUGGUUUCCCAUACUUGAUCUAGAAGGAUUCUGAAAAGGGGGAAUUUUAGCAGUGUACUUUGAAUCAAAGAUGACGCAAAGGAUGGAAUUUGGUACCCUAUCUAUCUAUCUAUCUAGCUAUCAUCUUACAUUCUUCCAUAUGAAAAGAACAUGAAAACGCUAAACUCUUAUGAUCAACCACUGAUGCCCAUCAUCCGAAAUCAGCCAGGCACAAGAAGUAGGGCCUUUUCUGUGAUGCCACUGAGAUUCUGGAACAGGCUGCCCAAGGACAUUGGCCUGGCCCGACCACUGUUUGCCUUCUGACAGACUAAAAUUAACCUUCUCCAGCAAGCAUUUUUGGGUGCUGCCCAGCGAACUGGGCUGUGGUGGUGCUCUGUUGAUUCUUUUUAAAUUGUAUUAUACUUCUAGGGAGCUGUGUGUGUGCAACAUUCCUUGCUUUGUUUUAAUUGUAAGCCAUCUUGAGUAUAUUUUUGUUCUACAGAAAGGCAGGUUGAAUGUAAAAUAAAUAAAUACUUUUAAUCUACAAUUUUUAGAACUACUCUGAAAUAUCAAACUAAGGGGACAUUGUAUAAAUCCAGAUUUCCCUUCAUAUAAUUUACACAGCUGUCCAAUUAAAUGAUCAUCCCAAUUAUGAAAGGCUGUUAAAAAUACAUUUUUGCUCAAGGAGUUAGACACUUUAAUUUCAUCAGGGACUUUAAAAUAUUAUACAGAAAAGCCAAACAUUUCAUAACUGUAUUGAAAGUAAGAUUAACACUCCUCUUACAAAAACUACCUUCUAAAAGUGGGAUUGUGGUGAUCUGGAUUUAUUUUCUCUUGACAUGUUCCAUACAUAUAGUUCUUACAGAGUUUGCAGUUCAAAAGGUUUAUUUGUCUAGCUACCUCUAAUGCAAAUUCAACUUGAUACCCAAGCCAGGCCAGACACCUUUCUUCAAUUGUUUUCUUUGUGUUCUUUCUUAAAAAUAAAUAAAUGCCAGUGAGUCAAGUCUAUCUGGAGGCUCUGUCUUCAAAUCACAGGUGGGAAGAAUGGGUUGUACUAACUCAGAGUUUCUGAAUCCUUUUGAGCUCAAAUCCAAUCUCAGCUCAUGCUACUUUGUCUCUAGCACCAUAGAUUGAUGUUCAGUAUCCAUGUACACUGUUGCCUCAUGCUAUAUGCAAGGAUCUGUGGAUUGGAGGCCUGUAGCAACCAUGGGAUUAAAAGAGGAUUUGAACAAAGCCUCUUGGAUGCUUCCAAAAUUUACGUACAGUCAUACAUUAUGAAUAUAAUCAAAGCUGGACAGGAAUUGGGGGAAAUGAUGCCCAGUUUGGAAUACAGGUGCACAAUACAAGUGUGCCAAAUUCAUAUUCUGAACCUGUAAUUGUGAAUUUUGGCCACAUUGCACACAAUUUUUCAUUUUCCUAGGCUCUGUGCGGGAUUUUGACUAGUUAACUCACUCUUCAUUUCUCCCCCUAGGUGGCAAUAUUCUAUUGCUGGCAGUAUCCCUCUAAAAAGUUAGAUUGCUUGUGAGUAUUCCAUGUCAUUAUCGGGUUAGGCAGGUGGGACCUCGGAGCCAGGCAACACUUAAUAACACACACACACCCCUUAUGUGCAAAGAUGGAUAUGCCCAUUAGUGUAUACUACUGCUGCUGUGACUAUCCCUGAACUGGUUCCUACAACACCCCAAGAGCCAAAUUUUGUAAUCAAAGUGAAACAGUCUCAUAAACAAUGUUGCAUCAGAACCGUGAACUCAAUGCAAGAUCAUAGUCCCUCUUCCAUGAAAGGAAAAAACGGAAAGCUUUUAAAUUUUCCAGUUCACAAAGAGAAGGCAAUCAUGGGUGGGUAGCUCCCAAGCAAUUCAUUGUUCACUUGAAUACAUGGUCUAUACAAGUAGAACCCCCAUCACAACUAGGGACCCUAGUAAAGCAGGCUCCCUGAUUGUGUGGAGAAACCUGUUCCUGUUCCAGCAGACGCAAGCCCAGUGCAGACCUUCCCCACAUCACACAAGGAAGGUUGGGAACUGAGGAGGCGGGAAACAUACUAAUAAUACUAAUGCUAGUAAUUUAUUUAUACCCUGCCCAUCUGCCUGGGUUUCCCAAGCCACUCUGGGCGGCUCCCAAGAGAAUAUUAAUAAAGCGAUAAAACAGCAAACAUUAAAAACUUCCCUAAACAGGGCUGCCUUCAGAUGUCUUCUAAAAGUAAUAUUGUUGUUUAUUUCCUUGACAUCUGAUGGGAGGGUGUUCCACAGGGCGGGCACCAUUACUGAGAAGGCCCCCUGCCUGGUUCCCUGUAACCUCACUUCAUGCAGUGAGGGAACCGCCAGAAGACCCUUGGAGGUGGACCUCAGUGUCCGGGCUGAACGAUGGGGGUGGAGACGCUCUUUCAGGUAUACUGGACCGAGGCCAUUUAGGGCUGUAAAGGUCAGCACCAACACUUCGAAUUGUGCUCGGGGACGUACUGGGAGCCAAUGUAGGUCUUUCAGGACUGGUGUUAUAUGGUCUCAGUAGCUUUCAUGAAUACCCCUUCUCCCAUCCACACUUUGAGAGAGGUGUACCAGAAGAUUCCAUGAGUAGCCCACUCCUGUGAGCAAGUUGUGAGGCUUUUUUUUUUAGUGAAUUGCCAAUGCAUUCUCAGAAUGAAUUCUGUGACUUAUUCUGAUCAAGUCAUCACUUGAUAGGAAGUUGCCUAAUGUCCCAUCACACUAUUAGUCCAUCAAACAUUUUGUUACCCUAACUAGCACUGGAUAUGCAAGCUAUCAGUUCUUCACGUCACAAGCCGCCUGAUUCGUCUUCCCCCACCUCAUCUUCUUAACUGGCAAUGCCAGGGACUGAACUUACAACUUUCUGCAUACAAACCAUGUGCUCUGACACUGAGCCAUGGUCCAUCCCUUUCAUAGUAUUUCAAUCAUCCAGUACUUAGUUACCAGAAAAUAUAAACACCUAAACUCUUGCAUCAGGCGCAUCAAGUAUAGGGGGAUUGUAGAUAAUGUGUGGGUAUUUGUGGUCACUUGCAUGAUUUCUGAUUCAAAUCAGAUAUGUGUAGUUCUAUUUGCAAGUUCACAGAGAGUUUUUAAAAAAUCCUGGAGUGCUACAAGUGUAAAUUCAUGGAGAUUGAAUUGUCCAGUGGGACUAGAAUGGCCUCACUAACCCAAACACAGCCAUGCCCUUACAAUGUUUUGUUUGCCACUUCUUCAUAACAUUGCAAGGGCUCCCAUUUGGAUUCUCACAGUGUUCCAGCCAUUCCCACAACCCACUGCUAAUGUAUGACAGGAAACAUUCUGUAACAUAUAUAAAUAGGAAAUGACACAGCAUCAAUUCCAACUGCUGCUAGUUGGCAUUAAGGAAUUGUAAGGCACACAAAAAUGGAGGCGGAGAAGCGGGUCUAUGUAAAUCAUCUGUUUAAAUUAAUGACAAACAAAAUUGAGUUCCCUUUGUGGUUGAUUUUCAUCUGAGCUGCACCCUACAAUAAAAUAGUUAUCAAAGAAAGCUACCAAUUAGUUGUUAAUUCAAAACAUCUUCAGAAAUAAGGCUUCAAAUCUCAACUGAUAUCUUUCCAACAACCUCCUAAUUGCAGCAAGUUGGUGGUAAAAAACAUUGCUUUAAAUAAAAAGAUGUCUUUCAUUUGCUGGAGUAUAUACUAUCCCUUGCAUAAUUAUUCCCAGAAUUUCCUCAUUAUACCGUGAGCUUUCUCAGAAGAUUUCUUGUGUAUAUGUCUAUACUGAGAUACAAAAGAAAGGACAGAUUAUUGUUCCCUAAACCUUAUACUCUACACAGGUCUCAGGAGCUCUGGUCUGGUGGUGGUGGUGGUUAUGGGGACCACUUUGGACAAAACACAGUUUUUAACAGAACCGAUCAGAAUGCAAAGGCAUGCAAAGAAAAAGAAAACUUCAUCAAGGAUAGAAAGAUAUAAUUCCUUGUAUCUUUUCAAAAAUGAAAUGUGACCCUAGAUUAGGUGGGAAACAAUAGUGAAAAACAUGGGUGGGAUUCAACUAAUGAGUCCCAUCCAUGGAAAUUUGUGCAAGGACCUUCUUCCCCCUGCCUCCUGAAAUUGUCUUGGGUGUGUCCAGCAGAACCUCCAGAACAGUGCAGACAAAGCCAGGACUGUUCUGUCUGGGAAGCUGAAAUGUUUGCACUGAUGGAACAAUUUCAAUAUCAUCAUCACCACCACCACCAUCGUUAAUUUGUACACCCGCCCAUCUGACUGGGUUGCCACAGCCACUCUGGGCAGCUUCCAACUAAUAUAAAAACAUAGUAAAACAUUACACAUUAAAAGGCUUCCCUAUAUAGCACUGCCUUCAGAUGUCUCCUAAAGGUUGUAUAGUUAUAUAGUUACUCAUCUUCUUGACAUCUGAUGGGAGGGCGUUCCACAACACUGAACCCAUGUGUACCAGUGGGUCUUGGCGCUCGAGGAUUUGACUAAGGCUGAAAGUAUUUCACUCAUUCUGUUCCCUCUUGUUCAGUUGGUUCACUCCACCCUAAGUUUCACUCCUGCUUAGCUAAUAACACAGGAAGUCGCAUUAUACUGAGUUGGACUAUUGGUUCAUCUAGCUCCGCACAGUCUACACUGACUGACACAAACCCUCCACAACAUUCAUUUCUCUGAGUUCUUUUGCAGGUGUGCACAGAAAAACUAUAAAAAGGAACCUUAUUGUGGUUGUCUGUUUAUUUUUUUGACUUCUCUGGUCCGAUUGAAUGCUGUUUCUUGGUAGUCGUUUCAUUGUUAUAAUACCCAGAAAAAACAUUUUUUCCUCCCACUCUUUUUUUAUAAAUGCAAGACAUUGUAAGUAUAUAUGCACACUCCAUAAAUAAACCCUAACUCUGUUAUUGUUCUCCAUUGUGUCACUGAUAAUGUGUUCUAUCCGCACACAUUUAAAAAGGCUCACCACUUCCCUUUUUAAGAAGUUGGAGGUUCUGUCUCCAUCUUCCUGGGUGUAAUUAAGAUGGUGACCACAAAAAAGCACUAUUCUUUGGUCUGUGCUUUGUCUCCUCCUGCAAUAAAAUGAGAAAGAUGAACAUAUUUUAGAUCCCUGACAGCAGUAAAACUGUUUUCACUUAGGAGAGGCAUCAUGAAAUCAUUUGGCCCCCUUGUCAAAAAGAGCAAUGGCUUGUUGUCAGUGUUAAUCCUCUUGGUUAGACACAGUGCAAAUGGGUCCCACCUAUGCCAAAGGUGAAUAUUAGCAGUAAAUAUCCUUUCAAGAGAUCUGCCACUGGAUCAUUCAGUAGUGAAAACAGCUGUCCUCACUCAUGCAGAACCUUUGGGUGAAUAAAAGCCUUUAAAGAUUAAAGUGCACCCUUCCUCAAAGAAAGAAAAAUAUAUAUGCUUGACAUAGAAGGUCCAGCAUUUUAUUCAGUGACAGCAUUUAUUUUGAGAGCAUUCUGUUGCAUUUGUUCUACCUAGUGACUGGUUGGUAAAUUGCUGUUGUGUUGAAUUCCCCACCUUUCUCUCAGAUGAAGUCACCAACAUCUUCAAAAAGAGUCUGAAUUCCGGAUGGGAGAAGUUCAGCUGUGUCCAGCUUAUGGAUCAAUUAUAGUUGGCAUCACCUAAAGGUGUAGAAGGGAAGCAGAGGUGGUAUGUGUUGGGUAGAGGGUGGCAGACAGGGAACAAACUGCAGGUUGGGUUAUUGGCCAUUUUGGCCAGUGUCAGCUGGGUAGGAAAAGCUUGGACAGGACUUGUUGUGGAUGAGGUUGUAGAUGCUUCCAUUUUGGAAGAAAACUGACACACAAUCUUUAGUUGGAUAUUGACAGAAGCAGAUGUUCUUUGUUGAUCUAAUUCAACUUUCAGUGGCUUUUGGAUACCAUUGGUCAUGAUGUUUUGGUGAUUUAUAAGACCUGGCAGAGGAAUGUAAUAAUCCAAGGUUACAAAUAUGAAGGUACCUUUCUCAGCAUUUGGACCCAGCUUUCAGCCUUACUUUCAUUGCUGUAAUUUUUAUUUCUAAAUGUGAAAGAAACCAAAGAUAAAAUGGGAACAUUUCUGUAAACUCUGGCAGAUUCCCUUGGUUUGGCCAUUCACCAUAAGAUCAUGCCUGUUUUGCACAAGCAAUUUUAAUUAGACUAAUAUUUGAGUUCUUAUGUUUAGUAUAAACUAAAUGCUUAUUUGCGACAUCUGUUUCUCUGUACAGCUACUGGAAUAUCAUAUUGUGUGAGUCAUGUUUUGGUUAAUACGUACAUGCACGGAGUUAAAGUUAUCCUUACGCAGAGCUGAAGUUAUGCUUAUAAGAUCAUCCUGCAGGAUGUGCUGCCUUUCUACUUUCAUACAGGAAGCAAGGUUCAAUACAUAUAUUCACUCAACUUUCCUGUUUAGAAGGUUUCAGUAGAACUUAGAAUAAACUGUGGAUUCACUUGGCUCUGAUUCCCCAUUCACUAAUUAACUUUGUCUUUGUCUGGUCUCUAACUCUCUCUCUCUCAUUCUCCCUUUUGGUGCUACAGUACUGUCAUGUUAUAUUUGGGUACAGAUAGCUUUUCUAUUAUUAAAGCUUCUUGAGGGUGUUUAUAGUUUAUAAAGAUAGUUUGUCACACUUGCAUGCAUGUUAAAUUGGUGGGAUCACUAAUGAGUAUUUUCUGAUUAUAUUGGACUUUUUUUGGUGGUGUGUUAUCACUGAUUCUUAGGAAACAUACACAUAUAUUUUGAUGGUUUUACUUCCAUGGUGUGGAUCUCCCACUGAGAAUGGUAUAUCUGUAUUGAAAGCAGCAUAUAUUAGGGGUGUGCAUUGGCUCUGUGUGUAUACUCCAAAUUACAAGCCAAAUUGUGGUGGUCUGAGGUAUUCCCAAAUCAGGUUGCUUGCUAAUAAGGCUUGUCAAGGCAGAACAGGGAGUUUCCAACCUUCGCAGUAGCUUUGUUGUCUCAGGUUUUCAAAAAAGUUAAAUAUGCAACCUUCCCCCCUUGUUUUCUGAGAAACAAACCAAGCCAACUAGGAAAACUCUCAGAGCUCAAGAGGAGAUCAGGUGUGGAAGAGAGACAAGGGGGUAUUUUGAUGUACAAGGCCAGCUUUUAAUAAUAGUGGGAUGUUUUCCAGCAGUAAGCCAAUCACAGUGAUUUGGAGGAGGGAUUCCAAAGAAAAUAACCCAAGGUUGUUCCUCACAUGGGUCCUCAUUCUCCUGUGUGUUUGAGUUGUGGGAACAGAGUGUAAGUGGUGGAGUUACACCAGGGUUGAGAAACCUUAGACACACAGGUCAAAUCUUGGCCUGCCAGGAAGCCCCAAUUGGCCUAUCAGGCUAUUUUCCCAAACCACAGUCACCUACUGUCAGUUGAUGGGAAGGAAGAUGAGGUUAAAUCCUGCACUGGCUGUGCAAUUCUCCCAAGGCAGUAGGAUUUAGCCCUCCUCGUCAGAUGAGGAGUGCGGGGAGGGAGAGAGGGAAAAGCCUGCUCAGUUCAGCAGGAUUCAAUGCUAAGUCCUUCCUGGAUUCUCUGCUAAAAUGGAGUCUUCCUCCACUGUAGGUGUAUAGGACUUCCAUGCUAUUGAGAACUGCUACACGUGGCUGCAUUGGAGUCCCUUUCAGCCAAACACAUAAGACCCUGAAGGGCAUGGGCAGAGGGGCACACUGACCUUGAGACAUGAUGCUGCAGCCCUAGCCUGUUCUUUUCUGGAUUGAGGUCUUAGGGGAGGCUGGGUCAAAGCAUGGGCACUUGCUCCUGUGGCAGAGGUGUCCCAUCUCAAAGAACACAAACUGGUUAAGUUUAAUACAGUGUUACAGUUGGUGCUUCCGAGUGGCUUGGCAACAACUACAUCAAUAAGGGUCUGGGCACCUCUCAGAAUUAAAUCAAAGGCUUGUUGUAAUUGUUCUAAAACAAAUCAUUUAUCAUAUCUAGAACUGUGGUUGUCCCUUUGUCAUUAUCCAGAUAUACAUCUACUCAGUUGAUGUGAGGAUAAUUGAAGACACAUAUGAUUAUGACAUUUUCUCUUUUGGCUGCCUCCCAGAUGUCCCUCCUGGAACAUUUGGAGCCAAUUGUUAGUUUGCUGGCAUUUUGUUUUCCGAGUUUUUCCAGAGAUACGUUUUUAUGGCUACUAGUGUAGUUGUUUAUGAGAGCAGCUUAUAACCUCCAGAAUGCAAAUCCUGUCAUCACCUUAGUAAAAGCAAAGUGAAUGGUGCCUGCACAAAAAGAACACAUAAAUUCCACAGAAACGAAAUUAAUGGGUUAGAUGUUAGCCUGUGAAAGAUGCUCACUCAAGUUCAAAAUGCUGGUAAAUACGCUAACUUAGUAAAGCUUUAUUCUAGGUGUGCCCCAAAGCCAUUAAACUAUAGAGUAACAUAAGCCUGGGAAUGGAUGACUUGGCAUGGAGAACAUACAGAUGAACUUCUGGUUUCUUGUUGCCAAUAAUUCUGCACAAGAUAAAUGUGUGAGGGGUAAAGUGGGGCCACCCUCACUGCCCACCCCCUUUGUAUUGUCUCUAUCCCUUGGACCUGUUGCCCUUCACACACUAGAUGUGUGCAUUGGGGAGUCUGCUGCACAUAUUGAAGCCCCCAUUCCCCAUGAUUUAGAACCUUGCACAAAUCAGGGAGAUUCCAUGAGGCGUUCCUGCACAACAAUCCUGCCCUCCAAUGCAUGGACAGAGAGGGGUGGGGCCACAGGGUGGUUCCCCACCCCUUGUAUGUUAGCAGAUAUCAGUAGAUAAAAUCAUGUGGGCCGAUACAACUGAAGUGGUUGGGCAAAUACCUCGCUCCGCUCACUUGAUUUUAAUUGUGUGUGGGGACUGAGUGCCCAAUUAUAGAGCUAUUAUUUCAAAUAUCUGAUACUGGCCUCCAUCAGAGAGGCUGAUCCUUCUGAGUGAAUAAGGUGAACAAGUGCUCAAUCAUUUUACAUUAAAAAUCAGCGUUUGAGUGCAACCAGUAGAUUUUAAAGGAUGCAGAUGGCACUUUAUUAAUAUGUACUGGCUUAAUUGAACUAGAAGUAUACGAUUUAACUUUCUACAGAAUCUCACUGAGUAUAUCUUUAAUGGUUAGUGUUAAAAUAUGAAGUGUCCUGCAUUUCUCAGAUUCUAAUAGGUAGUGCUCCCUCAUUAAACAAAGUCAAUAUUUUACCAUCAGCAUGAGUGAAUAUGUAUAUCAAAUAUGUUUCAGUUAAGACAUAGGGCAUGGUAUGUGGAAAAGGCCCCCCCCAUGAAGUAUUGCCCUUACUCAUUAUAAUAAUUAUGAUUAUAACUCAUCAUAUCGCCCAGCCUGGCUGGGAUUACUUCAAGAAGAAGCCUCUGGUUAUUUUUUAAAAGGGUACUAAAGCUGUAGAUGAGAAAAUGAAACAGCUGUGGACAGGUAAAAGGUAGCACAUUGAAAAGGUAAACAAAGGGGAUGUAAUGUGGAACUUUUUGCAGCUCCCUUUGUUUAGAGGUUUUUUUUGUUGGCAAAAGUCUGGUGUCACCCUAACGUCAAAGACCAAGGUAACAACAUGCAAAAUGUUGAUAUAAUACCUACUCUUGAUUUCUUUAUAAUAAGGGCUAACAAAGCUAAACUGCAUCAAGGCAUGUGUUUGUCACAAAGGCAUGAAGUUCAUAUGGAAAAACCACAAUGCCCGAUCAAUUCUUGCUGACCCAUAAUAAUUACUAAAAUAUAAGAAUGUGAUUGGGGUUAGCAUAUGAAAUGAGAGGUCUCAUGGAUAAUCAUACUGGCAGCAUUUAUGGGCCAAUAAAGAAAUCACAUUAGACUUGUAUUUUCCUAACUGGAAAGGUGCCAAAGUAAUGAAAAAUACAGUAAUUUUUGUUGAUGUCAAGCAGGGAUGCAGACAAAAUUGUAGACAACAUGGUUUGGGCUUUUAUUGGGUCAUUGGAGCAUCAGAACGAUUAGGAAAGGGUACAAAAUGCCAUGUAGAUUACAACAAAUAAUGCCACAUCAUAUUAAUUGUGCCUGCUGUAACUGCUGCCUAAUUCCUUAUGCUGAAGACAAAAAGGUAUUUUCAUUUGUCAAUACAUGCGGACUUCUUAAAACUUAAAUUUUAUUGUUUGCAACAGGAUGUUAUACUGAAUUUCUGCAAUCAUUUUCUGAGUGUAAUUAAAGUCAGCAUAAACAAACUACUCACUAUUUACCGCAAAUGGGGAAUGGCAACUUCCUGCUUUCUAGAAAUUGUGUUAUAUGUUCAGGAUGAUCAAGAUGAGUCAACAAAUGAGCAGUGGCAUUUAUGGACUACUUUUGAUGGCAGCCCUGCAUAGAGCAUAUUACACUAGUCUGAGCUGGAUGUGAAUGAUGGUGGUCAGGUGCCUAUCUUCCAACACAGGUGGUGAAUCAGUCCCAUCUGAAAACUCCAGGCCAGAAAGCCUCCAUCGGAAAAUCUAGCAGCAUCCUGAAAGCUGCUCCUUAGGUAAGAAUGGAAUGUUGUCACAGGUAUUUCUCCAACCAGCUAAUCCACGGAGUCAGUUCUAUUAGCCCACAUAAUUUUAUGUACCGAUAAUCAACUAUCAUGGGGGGGGGGUUGAGACCCCACCCCGUGGCUCCAACUCUCUUCAUCCAUGGAUUGGGAAGCAUAUAAAGAGAGGAAUCUCCUCUAUGAGUUUAGGUUACCCUGGUUAUUUAGAACACUGCAUGAUUAGGGUUCAACAUCACCAAAGGCAGUCUAUGUAGUGCAGCUUCCCCUCUUCAUACAUUUCCUGUCAAUUCAUGGAUGGUGAGGUGUGGGAUAGUGUAAACUGUGCAAGUGAAUAAUGCCAUCAGCCUUAUAAUGGUGGUAUAGCAACACAAUUCCUGGUUCAAAUGGAUUACCAACGCAACUGCCUCAGAAAAGAGAAGUAUUCACUGAAGGUUAUGGUGACAAAAAUAUAUCCCACCCCCACCCCAAAGAGGAAACAAUGGGCAGUAUCCAGUGAAGUACCUACCUGCCACUACAAUGACUUCUGGCUGUGCAAUGGAACUUCCCCUCCCUCUCCUCUCCCUGUAUCCUCCCACACCUCCAAAAUCUCUUCUGGGUUCCCCCCUAACCCCCCAGAGGCAGCAUGGGGAAAGGAAGAGGAGGAGAAAGUUCCAUUGCACAAGUGGCAAUCCUUGCAUCACAGACAAAGGUGGGUCUAUUGGAACACAGCUGGUUUGGUUGCACCAGCAUCUUCAAGUAGUGACCAUUUUAGGCACGUCUGAUUGGUGCACGAUCAAGCAUACACUUGUCGCUGCCAACCUGGAAGUGGCCCAAAAAGGGUGGCAUGGGGUGUGUUGGGUUUAUGUGGGGAACAGAACCCCCAUGCAAAAUGGUCUCCACCUGUAUGCAAACACAUCUCUCUGUCUUUAAAACAAGUAAAGCAAAGAGGUCAAUGGAAUAGCAUUCUGUUGCUUUGGGUAGGCUAACCCUAUAUAUCUCAAACCUACUUAUCAGGUUAUGUGAAACAGAUGAAGGCUGAAAUCCUAUAUCAAUUUACUACUUUUUGAAAUCAGACUGACUUCUGAGGUGAUAUGUAUAGGAUUGUGCUGUUGGGUUGCAUUCCUGUACCUGGGAGGAACCCCCCUUGAAUCCAGUGGAACUUACUUCUGAGUAGCAGUGCAUAUUAUUGCACUGUUAGGAAAGUACAAAUGCUAUGUGAGGGUCCGUCAUUACACGUUUUUCUGCAGAUGCCUUAGUUUUGAGCCUGAAUAUCUGUUAAUGACUUGUUCUGUUAAACACUGAAACACACUUUAAGGUUUCUAAGCAGGUCUCUGUGUCACUAAUGUUCUCACUUGAGUUAUGAAGCAAAAUCUCCUCAGACUCCCCUCCCUCCCCACUCAUCCCAUGAAUGGACUUUUUUGUGUUGUUGCUGCUGCUGUUGUUUUGUGUUAACCUCCCCUUCCUCCCCUUCCUACUUCCCAAACAAAUUGUGAAAGGCGUAUUCAUCUGAGCAAGGGAACUCUUUGUAUCGAGUAUGUCCUGGUCUUUAAUAAAGCACCAGACCGGCCGGGGUGGGGGGGCUUCAUUCAGAGGGGAUGCUGUAUUACAAAUCUGCUUUUGUUUUAGCUUUCUGUCCUUCUAAAGGCUUUUACUGGGAAAAGAGUAGCACAUUAAGCCCAAGACUUAGCUUAUCCUCGUUCUCUUUGCUGCUUUACUUAAUAGGUGAGUUUGGAGAGGUGUUUAAUAAUACAAAACCACUCAUUUCCACUCCUAAUGAUUGCCCAGUGGUGAGUCUCUAGCAGAAGAAUUGCUUAGUGAGUCUGAUUCUUAAGGGUUUGGUGUUUUUUUAAGGAAAAAAAGUUCAUCACAUGGCCCUAAGGCUAUUUAUUAAAUAAUUGUGCAAUUAAUCCAGUAACCAUUAUGUGAACAAUUGUUUAAUCAAAGCAAAGGAAACUAGGAUUUCCCCUCCUGUUCAAUACUGUAUUGUUUUGAGAUCGCUCAUCACUUCAAAGUAAACUUUCCAGUAGAAAACACAUUUUCAAGUUACACAAAUGCACAAAGUAUUAGUAACAGCAUUUAAGCAGUUCUCUGCUAAACAUGUAUUUCCUUUACAUCACUAUUUUCCUGUCAACAGUCACCCUUAAGUCUCUGCACUGCCUCCAUUUUUACAACUUUCCACAUCCUUUCCCCCAAGCAAGUUUAAGCAUCCUAUCCAGUGGAUAGUUAUACUGUGGAAAAUAUGCAAUCCAAAUGGUAAACCAUAGCUGCUUGUUGGUUUUUUUGAGGGGAGGGGGGGUGACUUUCAACUCUUUCUUUCUUGUCUUAUCUCCCUCUCUUCUGUUUUGCUCACUAGAUUCAGAACAGCAGCUUUCUCUCUCUUCAUUGGACCUCCUUCAAGUCUCUCCUCAAGACCCACGUUGGGCCCCUAUAUCACCCUAUUCUCAUCUCCCCUGCCACAUCCCCACUCCCAAUUCUUUAAUUAUCGCAUCCCACAUCCAGCAGCAUCUGACGUAAAUGCUAUAUUCUGCGGGUAGUGUCUGUGUCUUUCCUGUGUAAUGUCUAGUAUUUGAAAACCAGGGACAGGUAUUUAAACCCAGAUAUUUAGAAAGCUGGUGUGAGUUUUAAUCUGUUUUAGUCUAUUGUUAUUUUAACUUUUCAAAUUAUUGUUGCUGAUUUUUCUUACUGAUAAUUUUAUUGUUUUGUGGUUUUUUUUGCAAACCGCUCUAAGUCCUCACCCCCCAAUCAAGCGAUGUAUAAAUUUUAUGGUACAAAAUAAGAAUGAAACAUUGAAGUGCUUCUUGAUGUGUUUCAUCCAUGAAAGGGGCUCCAUGCAGACUUGUGGCAGUAUUGUGUUCAGAGUUCCAGAUCUUGUUCAUGCCUAUGCACAUCUAGCUCUGAACUUGUAAGAUAUCCACAUUCAAUGAGCAUCCAUGUUCAGAUGCCCAUACUUGGAUGUCCAGCCUCAAUGAGUAUAAUGCUAAAAGGAAUGGGGCCAACAACAUUUCCCCAUUUCCUCUUCUAGCUCUUCAUCCUCUUCCUGUGAAUGAGACACAUGUUGGCAGGUAUAGAAUCAAGGGGUGCCCAUGCAGUUCCAACUUAUCAGCAGCCACAGUCCCAUAGUCCCUGCUAUGGAAGAGCUUUUGCCUAUGGGAGGACAGUUUGCAAGUAUCUAGCCAUAGCCAAUCUCGGUUCUUGUUUACUAUUAAUGUGUAUUUCCAAUAAACUCUGAAAAGUUUCCUAACAAGUACAAUGCCAAUAUGAGCACACUGUGCAAUCAAAAUGGCACUGGGACUGUGCAAAUAAUUCCAGCUUUAGAAAACUUUCUUGGAAGGUUCAUAUGAAUGCUGUAGAGCUGCCAAUUGUAUAGUCUUUUGCUGGAAUACAUUCAGGAUUAUGGCAAAAACCAGUGUUGUGACUAGUAAAUCUGCAAUGGAGGCAGGAGGCUCCUACAGUGGUGAACUACCCUUUUAUGCUGCUCGGAGCUAAAAAGCCUUUGGGUUGGAAGCCAGAGCAAAGUCCCAACAAGAAGCAACUUUCCCUUCUGGGUGCUAUGUCUCCUGUCAAACGGUAACAUUAAGAUACCCUUUUCAAUUUUAAUUUGGAGCAAGGGAUACCUCAUAACGGAGGGGGUUGGAAGGGUGGCUUCAUGCGUUUGUUCCCUGAACUCAUUUGAUGUUGAGUCUACCCCCUGCCCUUGAAGUUAUGUGCUCAGUCUGGUACAAGACCCUCUUCCUAAACUAAUCCUUGUGAUGCAGGAAUGCUAUUGGGAAGCCUCACAGCAGACAUCAUAAGACAUGGGUGACUUCUGAUACGCAGUUUCCAACUUUCCUGGUUUAUGGCUUGAGCCGUGUGUCUAAUGUCAAUGGAUGAUUCUGAGUAUGCUUGGAACCCUUCACUGGUGCCAGUAAACUGAGAACUUAAGGACUAGGACUCAGCCACUAUCAGUCCCCCUUUCCUUCACGCCACAAGAUAAGUUUUGGAAGGAGGGAAACUAGAGAUUACAGUGGGUAACAGUGGCUUGAGCUCUGUCUGAAGUUUUGGAAUGAUUUCAGGCUUUCACACUGACAAUUCAUAGGCAAAAUACCCCCAAAAAACUGAGAGGAAAGCCAAAAGAGUUUGUCUGUUUACAGUGGUACCUCAGGUUAAGUACUUAAUUCGUUCCAGAGGUCCGUUCUUAACCUGAAACUGUUCUUAACCUGAAGCACCACUUUAGCUAAUGGGGCCUCCUGCUGCGGCUGCGCCGCCGGAGCACGAUUUCUGUUCUCAUCCUGAAACAAAGUUCUUAACCUGAAGCACUAUUUCUGGGUUAGCAGAGUCUGUAACCUGAAGCAUAUGUAACCUGAAGCGUAUAUAAAAUGAAUGCCAUAUGCAUUUCAAUAAGGAGAAUAAAGUGUCUGAGGGGGCUUCUGCCCUUCCCUGAGCUCCACCAGAUUUUGCUUACAGGAAAAUUCAAGGUAAAUUGGGAGAAAUAUUUGCAGGCCACUGAUCCCCCAUUUCUGCUGUGGAGACACAGUUCCUUGGAAGUGCUUGGGAAAUGAGUGUACAUACUCAGGGCAGUACUGACUAUUCCAGCUGUUCCAUUUUAUUUUUUACUCCAUAGAUUCCUUGCUACUCCACAUGCAUGAAACAACCUGAACUAAAGUAUUCACUGCUGGUCAGUAUUAGCCACUAAAGUGGAAAAAUGGAUAGGAAAGACUGGACUGAACCUGAAUCACAUAUCUAAAAUAUAUGAAACAUCGAUGAAAGAGACCUUAAAAAAACCUUAGCCAUUUGAAUUAUUAAAAAAUCUAGGAAAAGCACUGAACAGAUACUUUGAAUAUGUAAUUGAACUUAAUGCCCCAAAUAAGAAAGAAAAGCACUGGGGCUGUUAACAUCAAAGCUCACAUUAAAAAAUGUAGGCUUUACAACUGAUAAGCUCCUUCUCGAAAAAGAAAGGAUCAGAAAAAUCUCCACAUUUCAGUGUCACUUGAGUAAAACUGACUUGAUAAAAGCAAAUAUGUGAAGAAAGAAAAGGCAAGGCAGGAGAAGGGGGUGUCAGGUUCCAGCUCCCAGCAAUAUCAUACCAUGUAAAGUCUUUAAGUAGUGAACUUCGUUAAAAAGUAAGUAUUUCUCAGGCUUCUAACAAAUGAGAUUCCCCCCCCCCUGCCCACCCUCCAUAGGCUCUGGUUGGGAUGCUGGCACCCUCUAUAUCAAAGCAAAAUAAGUAAAAGUUAGCCUGGUAGAAAUACUCUUUAGAUAAGUUUUUGGCUCCAAAGCACAAGCGGUUAAUGUCCUUUUCUCUGGUGGAUGAUUUUAUAUUAUUUCACAAAAGGCAUACUCUUAAUGAUUCACAAAGGGAGCCAGCUUGAUAUCCAAGUGAUACGAUGAUGAAUAAAAUAUAUUUCUUUUCAAAAGUAGCAAAAUUAGCUACGGAAAAAAAACUGAGCUGGUGGUUGUCCUAAUCAUUCCUUCAGUCAAAAGUGAGCAACAUGGCCCAUGGGUUCAACAGAGUUGUGAUGUGGCUUGUUGUGUCCCCCGACUUCUUGUUAUAAUUCUGAGAUACUUUAAAAAAAACAAAAAACCACACGCAUUAAAAGUGUGUCUGUCACUCAUGGUUGUGGAGAUUAGCUCAAAAAUGUGAAGGUAAUAUAAAGAAUGCUGCAGUUGUAAAUGGAACUAUGAAUAAGGGUUAGUUCGGAAUAACGUUUAUUUCCGGGUUGACAAUUCAUAUGCAGAUGUACUCAUAGUAAAGCAGCCUUGUCUCAUAUGAACUGUGGUGCCCUCACUAUUUCUUCAAUUCUGUCAACUGUUCAUUUCCAUUAAAGGACAUGAAUGUUUUUGCUUAUGCAUGUAUUACACACAUUCACACUGCAUCAUAGGUUGUUGUAGUCUUAACACUGUGCAAAUGUUCAUUGUUCUUGCACAUGUGCAUAUUUCUCUCUGUUUCGCCUGGUCUGCCUCCACCCUGGACAAGAGAUAGCACCCUCUCUUCAACCAUAUUCACAAGUGCAGUGACUGUGGUUUGGAGGCUGCUUUUAUGCAAGUCAAAUGGGUGCUGUACCAGUUGGGAAUCUGUAGCUGUAUGGGAUUGCACCCUCUGCUACACGGAAACCAAACUGUUCAGGGCAACACUUUGGAUGGUGUUUCGAAACAAACUGACCCCCUAGUACAGAUCUCCAAUACACUAGGGGGUUAUAAGAUAGCUAUCAUGACUAGUAGUCAUUGGUAACCUUAUCCUCCAUGAAUUUCCAUGGAGAUCUUUAAGAACUGGUGGGAUCUAACUGCUGCAGUGCUUUGCUGUCAAUAUCCAAUAUCCCAGCUGCUGCAUUCUGAACCAGCUGGUGUCCCCAUACAUUUUUGAGAACUACACAAGGAGGUGCUUUCCACACUGUUCUGCAUGCUGUAAAACCCAUGCAUCUGCAAUGCCAAGUGCCCACCCACAUGGUCACCACCACACUGGUGAAUCAGGCCUCAUGAACAAGAAGUUGUUUCCUUUGCUUGUAAAGGCCUGACUCUGAAAACCUUUAACAUAAAGGAAAGAAGAAUAAGACAUGUGGCUUUGCAUUGUAGGUAGAAUUUUUUUGUUUUGUUUUCUACAAUGAGAAACAUAGACGGUAACUCAAACACCGAGAGAUCUAUUUACGCUUCCGAACAAACAGUUUAUAAAGUCUAUUAUAUACAGAUGUCUAAAUAUUUUGAAAAUGUUUGCUUAUUGGACGUGAAAUGAAGCUACCUGUUUUUAUUUGAAAAAUUUCCCCUUGGAGUUUGCAUGUAAAACUAAAAUCACUUGUUAGCUGACACAGUGCGGCAAAUGAGGCUUAUUUACAGAGUAUAUGAAGUGCCUGGGCUUAUGUUUGUAUCCUGGAAAGCAAUACAUUUGAAUUUUCAUUAGACGAUUCCCUUUUUGCAAGAAGGGGGAAAAAGUGAUUCAUUGUAUAAAAAGAGUAGUAAGUGGCUUACUCUCGGUCUUUGUCAAGAGACAACUGGCAAAUUGCGGGCUGCAUAAUAUUUCUGGGGCUCUACUUGUAUCUGGAAAUUGACUGCUUUGCAGGCAGUUUAAUCAACAGGGCAAAUAAUCUGUACAAAACAAUCCUCAAAACAGUCCGGAAUUUGGCACAGCUAAUUGGAAUUGUGUGUGCUUUUGCUAGACCACAGUCCCAAGAUAAUUUCCUGCAUCUGAUGAAGUGAAGUGUCGUCCACAAAAGUUUAUGCCAUAAUAAUUUUAUCAGGGUGAAAUCCAGUGGUGUCUGCAUGUGAAUGGAACAGACUUCUGCUCCUAUAACAUCCUCCCUGCAGCCCCUGUGCAGCCCAAAAUGUGCUUGAGAGAGAGAGAAGACCAGUCCAUUAGGGCAAAUGGGCACUACCUCACCAACUUCAGUCUACCCUCAGCCACCCCCAUCUGCCUAGCUUCAUACUUACAACCAGUCUAGGGGUGUCAGCUUGACGCUGGCUAUCAGCUUCCUCCUUCUAUUCUGAGUGUUGUCCUUGCAGAACACAGCAGGGAUGAGGAUGGGGACAAAACCAUAAUUAAUUGGUUCUGCCUGCCAUUGGCUGUGGUUUCACCUGUUAUUUGCUCUGAUUAGACCUACUGUUGGCUUCCUGCCUUAAGCUCUUACAGUCCCAAUGGAUACCAGCCACCAUAGAGAUAUGGUGGAUCCUCAAGGCAAGGCUGGUUUGCUUUGUGUCAUUAAUUAUCUCAAUAAUUUGCUUUUUGCAGGCCCUGCCACUUAAGGACAAUAUUUGCCCUAAAUACAUUAAUUUAAGGAACGAGCAGAUUAUAUUGGCUUCCCCUUAGCUGUAAAGAAAAUGAAGGUGCCAGCCACCAAUUUGACAUGGUGAGUGAGACUGGUUGCCUCCCUUAGAGUAAGGUGCUGACCUCCAGAAAGAGGCUGGAAAGUUGUUCUAAGGCCAAAGGUGUGACUCUCAGGCAGCUUCAGGAACUAGUGAGGCACUUUACUUCUGCCUGUGAGGUGGUGGCCGCUUGGCAUGCCUUUCUUCACAUGCUUUGAGACACAAGAUAGUGUGUUGCGCGUCGAGGUCCCCAAGCCACCCCAAAUAAAGCACACUUGACACAUAAUUUUAGUUUAAGGUUUUUGGCAUACUUUUGGCCACAAUUAAAAUUACAAGCGAUGUGAGUGGUUGCUUAGACAUUGGUUGUGACUAUCUGCCCCCGCAUGGGGACAAACUGACAUUCGCCCGCCCGCAAAGUCAGAAAGGGAAAACAUUUUGGGGAGAGAGACGGAGCUGGGUACCAUGCCUCACCUCUCCCCAAAUGCUCCCAUGGGCUCUUGCGUGGCCCUAGCCCCUUGACAGGGAUUCGGACAAAAGCAUGGCGAUCCCCUGGAUUCCUUUAAUGGAAUACCCUUGCAGCAGCAGUAUUUUGGAGGGACAGGCACAGCCAAUCCGUACCCCUCCACCAACAAAUUAAUAAAACCAAUUCCUAACCACAACCUUACAAGUUGUGACGAUUUGCUACGCAGUAGGCAAAACCCAAAUAGCACCAGCCAAUCAGCCAAAUGGACAAAAUUCCUACCGGGCCCCUGCCCCAAAGCAGACAACCCCAUGAUAGGCAUAGCAAGGUCAAGCAAACAGCCUAAAAUAAGGAGGGAGAGCGGGUGAUCCGAUGCAUCCAGCGAAAAGAGGAAGCUCAACACUGUGCGCAGGGCAUAUAUAUAAGCUAUGGCUGUCAAUCACAAAACGGCAACAUAUAAAUCUCCCCAGCAACAGAUAGGAACCAAUGGAUAUGGUGGCUAAAAUUCUUUACCUGCCCAGCAACAGUGGGGUGUCUUGUUAGCACCCAUCGCAACAUGUGGUCUCCAAGAAGGAGAACAUGCUUUACUGCUGAUCAUCUUCACAGGGUGCAGCUCACAUGAGAGCCGACAUGCUUAUGUGAAGGUGCAUUUUACAGUUCAAUUGCAUUUCUUUCUGGAGGAGUACCUUACUGUAUUGCUCAAGGCUGAACUGUCACAAAUGCUGCUGCUGGAAUUGGUUGGGGGGGGGGCAUUUCCCAAGAGGCGUUGGUGGGCAGAACGCUAACUUGAAAGUUGGGUUUCUCAAGAGUCAACUCAAAACCUGACUUUUUCUGAACUGCUCCCUAUCGUGGUAGCUUUUGGAAAGAGAAGUUUCACAAUGCGUCCAUUCAGUUUUGGGAUCUUAACCUGUGCAUGGUGCACAUUACUAGUUAUUCGUCUUCACAGUCAGGAUAUCUGGUAACUAAAGACUUGGAUUCUUAAUUUCAUGAUUGUUUGGUCUGAGAUGCUGGAAUACCGUUUUUUAUGUAGAGCCCGCCAUCCUAACCAUAUUGAAAUGGCUAGGAGGUGAGUCAACAGGGAUGUGCACAAUUGUCUGUUGGGCUUAUAUUUUCCGGUGUGGGGAUUAGAUAUGAUGCACUGACCUUCUUGUGCACUUCUCUACUGAAGGCUCUGACCUUUAUCUGAGAGAUCUGCUGCAAAGCUCUUCUUUCAAUACAGUGAGUGACCCUCAUCCCAUUCAUGACUUGUAUCUUCAUUAUGAUGGGUAAUUGAGCAUUUCAGAAUCAUGAGCAAUUUCUAAUGUACUUUAUCUGUCUCUACUACCGCAAUACACAAAGCGAAUCUCGUGGUUCUUAGCUCCAGUCCUUCUUCACACAUUACAAACGAAACAUGAAAAGCAGAAAAGUGAAUGAAAUGCUUUGAUUUUUAUCAGAAAGCAAUGUAUAAGAAAGCAAUGCAGUAGCUUAAAUGGUUGCAUGUUCUACCCUUUGGCAUGGGAAGAAACAGAGACGGUUGUUUCAGUUUCAUCCAUUUAGCUUUAUUUUAAAAUGACAUGAGAGUUAACCUUCUUUUAUAGGGGAUCUGGCCUGCUUUAUUUGCGUUCCAACAUCAAAAGGGGUCUGUUUCUAGGAAAAUAUGGUAGCUGAACAAAUUGUUAAUUUUCCAUUAUGCUUAAGGUUAAGCUGCAUCUUUCUUUUGACAUUUCUAUUAGAAGCCCUAAUUAAAGGCAAAUUCCUAUGUAUCCUACUGAGACUUCAACAGAGCUCAGGAAUAAGGAGCUCAUUGUGAUGUUUGAAAAUAGCUUGUUUGUCCGAAAGCCAUAAAACUGGUUACUAAUUGCAUUUGGCAAAGUACAGUCAAGAAUAUGUGGGCGAAUGACUGCAUAUGCUACCUUGAUGCCAUUACAAAAACUGACCUGGAAGAAAAAUGCUGAUCAAACUAAGGCUUGGUGCCCAUAUUAUUAUUAAACAAAAGGUGAUGCUCAAAGAUGAAGUGGACGUGAGACUUCACACCUGUGGACACUUUCUUAGAAGUAGAUUCUCUUGAACUCUGUGGGGCAUACUUCCAAGCAAACAAGCACCUGACUGGGUUGUUCCAUUUAAGAAGGAAUAUGAUUUAUGAUUCCUGUCUCCAAGCUCACCAAAUGCCUAGAACUCCAUCAAUAAAUCCAAUUUAUAAAGAACUUAAACAAUAAGUGGCUGUGUGAGAGUUAAAAUGUUCUAUGGCAGUCCACACAGAGUAAUAUGUUUAUUUAGGGCAGGCCUCCUCUCUCUCCACCAUGUUGUGGCCUCAUUUUCAGGCCAGAAAAGGGUGGUGUCCAGAAACUACUGCUAGUGCAAAAUGCAGCAGCUAGGGUCCUGAGUGGAGUGUGCGUUAGCAUUGUUGUUGUUUAGCCGUUUAGUUGUGUCCAAUUCUUCGUGACCCCAUGGACCAGAGCACGCCAGGCACUCCUGUCUUCCACUGCCUCCCACAGUUUGGUCAAACUCAUGUUGGUAGCUUCAAGAACAUUGUCCAACCAUCUCGUCCUCUGUCGUCCCCUUCUCCUUGUGCCCUCAAUCUUUCCCAGCAUCAGGGUCUUUUCCAGGGAGUCUUCUCUUCUCAUGCAUUAGCUACACUGUUCUCAAUGGAGCAGCUUGGGUGGGCUGCCAAUAUGCUACUAGGCCCGGCUGAAGCUUUUAGUUUUGACCUGCAGAGCUUUAAGCAACUUGGGACCAGGUUGCAUGAAGAAGUACCUUUCACCCUAUUGCCCUGCCUGGUUACUCACAUUGUUGAUUGAUGUUCUGUUGGUCUAAAGGAUGGGCUGUUUUUUUGGGGGGGGGUGGCAAUUGCCCACCAGUGGCGUAGCAUGGGGGGUGCAGGGGGGGCCGGCCGCACCGGGCGCAACAUCUGGGGGGUGCGCGCUCACACUCGCAGCUCUCUGCCCCUACCUGGCUCACUCACUCUCUCUCACUGCAGUGCUGGCUGUGCGAAUCCGAUCCGAGCCGCUGGGUCGCCGCCCACUGUGGAGGGGGUGGGUGCCAGGCGUGCGGUGCGGAGAGAGAGCGAGGGACUAUCUGGGGGAGGGACAGUGCAGCGGCUGCCCAGCGCAGCGCUGAGCGCAGGAGAGAACCACACCAGACCAGCCCAGGCAGCAGCAAGAAGAAGCUGGCAGCGGCGGCAGUUUAGGGGUUAGGGGGCGCAAAUUACUUGCCUUGCCCCGGGUGCUGACAACCCACGCUACGCCGCUGUUGCCCACCACUGGGAUAAACUCUGGUAGCACCAAUAAAUUUCACCUCAUACCUGGACAAAGCUCUGCAUUUACCUCUGCUGAAAGUUUCUUUUGAGAAGUUUCAGCUCAUCCCUGGUUAAGCUACUCUAAUCUUUGCAGUAGUACAGUACAAUUUUUGCCUUAUGUGUUUUGGUUAUUCUGUGCAUUAUAUAAAUAAAUAGAGGGACAACUGACCACUGCAGCAGAGUUAUUUCUGGAAGGAAGGGAGAUCAUUAGCAUCAUACCUUUUUUGUAUCUUUUAUAAAAUUUUAAUGGGGUACUUUAGUCAUGAUUGCACAUCAGGGCAGAGGAAGCAGAACAGAAUAAGCUAGACUUCCCCAAACUGAUGUCCUCCAGACUUUCCCAUCAUACCUGACCACUGGCCAUGCUGGCUGUAGCUGAUAGGAGUUGAGGUCCAAAAUAUCAGAAGGGCACUUGGUUGGGGAAAGCUAUGACAAACUAUUAACUUCUCUUCCUUGGACUUCUCUGAUUUGCCCCGUCUCUCCUAGUUGGGGAAUAACCUCCCAAUGGGAGUUUGCACAUCUUUCUGUGGGGGCAUGUUUGGAAGACUGUCUUAGGCUGUUGCAGCAGCAAAAACAACUAAAGGGCCCAGCAGCACAAUUUAUGUUAACAAAUCAAUUAUUCAUCUUGUUUCCCUUCUUUUCCGGUCAUGUGAAAAAGAUUCAAAUGUGGUAUGAGCACAAAGCUAUCAAAGCCAUGAACAAACCAUCCAUCAACACUCCCAGGGAAAGGUGAUGCUGGCAAAUUAUCUGGGUGAUUACUGUUUACCAAAUAAGUAAGAAUAUGCAAAAUAAUGUACUGUAUUUUAUAAUCUCAGACCCUUGAAGUGUCUCUUUUUUCCAGGGACAGUCCUGGAUUUACAGAAGCUGUCCCAGUUUCUGAUUUGAUGCCGGAAUAUCCCACUUUUUCUUAGGACAUCCCUAUUUUCAUCAGAGGAAUGCUGGAGGGUAUGGAGGUAUGUGAAGUUCGUUAAUGUUUAGGAUAGGCGGAGUGUAAAUAGCAAAUUAUCAUCAUCAUCAUUAAAUAGGACGUCCCUAUUUUCACUGGAGAAAUCUUGGGUGGUAUAUAAACUUUUGAAAUUGUCUGGUUGUGUUCUUCUUUUUUUUUCAAGAGAAGAUAGGCAUGUUUGACGCUGAAGAAGUUUGGGAAUUUGUCUGGCUUCCUGUUACUAAGAAGGGAUCUGGCAAUCAGUAUCAAACAGCUGCUGAAGCUACUCUGAUGCAGAAUAAGUAUCCAGAGUAGGUUUUUUAUUUGGGUCGAUGACAGAAAGAGGAAAGAUUGGUUUCAGAAGGAAUAACAAACAUUUCCUCAGACUUCCAGAUCUUGCAUAAUUGAGGAAGAGGGAACCAAAAGGGACUAUUUAUCUGUGUUUGACAUUGUUUGAACAUUUGUGUUAUAUUUAUUACGGGGGUGAAAUAACCCCCCAUUUCUUCUUUCAUUGGGCUUCCUUUUUCACUCUGCCCUCAAUUCUGGCUUAACCAGGAGAUUUUUCUUCUGUUAGAUUUCAUUUCCUUAGCUUUCAUUUCUUUUUCAGACUCUUCCCAGCUCUGCAUUGCCACUGUGCACGUGUGCAUUGAUGAAACAUUUUAAGAAAGUAGUCUUGGUAUGAUGGUAUUACAAAGGGUGAGGAAUUUGGGGAGGAAGGUGUCCACAUUCCAGAGCAAACUCACUUGAUUUGCAGCUUCUGGAUUAAUAUUUAGAUUGGAAUGUGGCUUGUUCCAAAAUUUAUACUCCUGCCAAGUUCUAUGAGGUGGCCUGAGGGCUGCAUUUAAUAUUUCUCCCUUUCUCCUUCAUAUUUAUUUAUUUAUUUGCUUGUUUGUUUUUUUAUAAGAUUUAGCAGCUUGGUGCAACUAGAAAGCACAGCAGCUACUGCAAGGGUUGAGAAGAAGCCAGAAAUGUCCUGGAGAGGGAUGACAUGGAAUGACAUGCAAGGAGAUUGUAUGCAAGUAACAGUGGGGACAGCCAUCUUUUUUCUAUACAAUGCCUGAAUUCUUGUAAAACAUCUUUUAAAGAAGGCAGAUCACCUCAUAAGUACCUUGUGUUCUGUCGAGCUCAUGCUGGCAGGGCAGAAAAGAAAACAGAGCCGCAUUCCUUUGCUCCUUCAUCUUUUCCUGCCCCAGUCCAUCCAGUGACAUUUCAUUCAAUGACAUCCAUCCAUGAGAAUGAUGUGGCAGAAAUUCUGUUUGCCACUUCUAGCAGAGGUAGAUUUAGGAGCGCGUGAUCAAUUCAGUCGCACUGGGCAUGGAGCCUUGGGGGUGUUGUGGGGGCACCACAACUAUGAUGUAAAAUGGAAGGUAAUAUAGGGUUGCCACAUUUCAAAAAGUGAGAAUCCGGACAGAAAAGUUGCUGAGCUUUUUGCUUUUUAUGGCCAAAGUUGCUGAGCUUUUUUUUGCCAUGCGUCUGGAUUUUUCAAGACAUUUCAGCGAUUUCUGCCCAGACACUGCUUCUGAUGGUCGAUUGUCAGCUAUAUCAGGGUAUGGCAUCAUACAGGGUGCACUGAGAUUUGAGACCCCAAGGUCCGUCACAGCCUCCAGGGUUACUAUAGUUGUCUCACUAGGUUGGAGGCCUGGGGAAGCUAUGGAUUCUUUAGAUUCUCCCAGUCGAUCUUGUCACAUCACAGAUACACUCUCAGUGUUAGGAGUUAAAAGGCCAGGUGAAACUGGCUGACGUCUCCCUCUCAACCACUCUCUCACUUUUUAUACCUGUACUACUAUAUCCUUUUUCUGUUCCAGCAACCUGGCAGUUACAUUUAAAAUACUUCUAAAAGCCUCAUACUUAAUGGUGCGCAUCCUGAACCAGAGUAUAUAAUACAGUGGUACAUCUGGUUAAGAACUUAAUUCGUUCCGGAGGUCCGUACUUAACCUGAAACUGUUCUUAACCUGAGGUACCACUUUAGCUAAUGGGGCCUCCCGCUGCUGCCGCGCCACUGCGGCCGCGCAAUUUCUGUUCUCAUUCUGAAGCAAAGUUCUUAACCUGAGGUACUAUUUCUGGGUUAGCGGAGUCUGUAACCUGAAGCGUUUGUAACCCAAGGUACCACUGUAAGUAAAUGUAAAGGUACCCCUGCCUGUACGGGCCAGUCUUGACAAACUCUAGGCUUGUGCGCUCAUCUCACUCUAGAGGCCAGGAGCCAGCGCUGUCCGCAGACACUUCCGGGUCACGUGGCCAGUGUGGCAAGCUGCAUCUGGCGAGCCAGCGCAGCACACAGAACGCCGUUUACCUUCCCGCUGGUAAGCGGUCCCUAUUUAUCUACUUGCACCCGGGGGUGCUUUCGAACUGCUAGGCUGGCAGGCGCUGGGACCGAACGACGGGAGCGCACCCCGCCGCGGGGAUUCGAACCGCCGACCAUACGAUCGGCAAGUCCUAGGCGCUGAGGUUUUACCCACAGCGCCACCCGCGUCCCCUGUACAGAGGUUUAAUGCUUAAAAUAGUACCAGAGAAGCCCCUAUGAUAUUUAUAUAUGAUUUUCUAUGCCUACAUAAGCUUGUUGCUAAUUUAGCUUAUUGCUGAAGCACGUUGGCACAAAAUUAAGCCUAACACCAGCACACACCUCUUUCAACUUCCAACAAUGUUGAUGUUUUGAUGUCACUAAGGCAAGGGCUGCAGAGGUUUCUUCAGUUGUGCGGAAAGGCCUUGUGAAUUGGAUCUCUGAGGUCAAACCACCCUUGGAGGGGGAGAUCUGAAACAUCCUUUGCCCCCUAGGAUGCCCUCCCAGGGACCACAGGAUUGAAGGGCUGGUCUCAUUUUUCUCAUUGCACACUGUAGUAGUGUAUGGCAGAAAACAGCCAUUCUUUGAAUGGAUGGCAUCUAGAAGAUCAUCCUUGGAUUCAAUCCAGGCUAUUAUAAAUAAAGACAUUUAGGAAAAUGCAUUUACAACUGAUUUCUAGAGAGCAGCAAACAAAUAACAAAAACAGGCCACUUGAUGCUUAAGGUUAUUAGUAGUGCUCAUAUGUCUCUCAGCCUUUUCUCUGCCAUCUGCGGGCAAAGAAGAGCGUCUGGGUUUCACUUUUAUGUUGUAGAGAAGGCUGGUGAGAGCUCAGUUAAGCAGGAUUGACUUCUAACCCUAACCACUCUUGGCAGCCUGAGACUGUGACAUCCUGUGGAUCCAGCCUCACAGGGUCCCAUGUGACCUUGUUGUCACCAGCCAAUACUCUCAUAACUUAGUUAGUAUUGUUUCCUUAAGUCUCACAACCCUUGACUCUGCAACUAUAAGUGCAAGAGGAGGCAUGCAUGAUUAUAAACAGACAGAGAAAGACAAACCCACUGGAUGCUUUGUCAUGAGCCUGUCAUGAGCCUGGCCAAUUUAAUUCUUAACAGUGCUUUCCCUUCAUUAUGUCAGAAAAAACGAAACUGUCCAGACUCUGGGAAAGAAGAAUGGAAUGCAAAGGAGCGAUGUAGUAGAAGGGAUGGCAAAGCACAUGAGGCAUAUGAUUCUAAAGCAGAGCUGAAAUAAUAUGACCAAUAACGCUACCAGAUCCAAUGUGCAUGUUUCCUUUUUGCAGAUAAUGGAAGAACUCCAAUGGGGGGGGGGGAACCACCCUCUAUAUAACUGGUUCCAUUGCCAAGCUGCUCUUACCAUCAAGACAUUUCUGCUUAUGUUCACCCAAAAUCAGCACUUCCAUAACUCAAGGCUAUUAGUUCUAGAUCAAAAACACACCAUACGCUUGUGCCACUUUAACAGUCAUGGCUUCCCCUGAAGCAUAUUGAGAACUGUAGUUUGUUAAGGGUGCUGGGAACUGUAAGCUCCGUGAGGGGUCUCCAAAUAACUCUCAGCGCCUGGGAUUGGGAAGAUGAGGGCAAAGCAGCCCUCAUUCACAAGCUGAGAACCUAUUACUCCCAGCUACGUAAUAGGCUGGCAAUGAAAUUCCACGUUCUGGAAAAUAAGCAUCUCACUCUUAUAGAUCUGCAUAACAACAAUACUCCUCAACGUGAGAUUAUUGAGCAACAGCAGGAAGUGCUUAGGCCCUGCAUUUGUUGCUUCAAAGUUUGAGGCAGGGUCAGGUAGCAGCAACUCUCUAAUGCACAAUAAAGAGUGUAUGAUUAAGCAGAUAACUGAAUCAGUACAGGGAGCAGUUUCCCUUUCUUUCAUCCUUGCAGACAGUAUUUGUCCCUUUGAUCCCUGAACAGAUCAAACAAAACCCACUAAUCAAUUAUUUCCCUUUUUGUCUUUCAGAUGCUGCCACAGACCUUCAAACACCAACGGCAGAUCUCUUCAAGAAUUCUUUAUUUGUUUGCUUUCCUUACAACGGCAUGCCACAAAUGGGUAUUUUAAAACCCAGUUUAUGAUUUCUGUUCUUCACAAUAUUACUUUGUAAAGGUGGGCUUUUUAUUUUAAAGUCAGCAUUUGCUCUUCUAAAGUCUACCCUGCUAAAGAAAAAUAUAUCUGAUUAUAUAUAUUUAUCUAAUAUAUCUAUACCUAUAUCAAUAUCAUAUUAGUAGUAUCUUCUUCCUCUGGUUGCUUGCUCUCUUUCAUUAGACAUGGGAGAAUUCAUGCCAUCUCAGUUAGGAAAUGGG